AAAUCUUCUCUUUUCUUAAGCAAAGCGAUUAUUUAUUAUGAAUCUCGUAUAUGAACUCUAUUCUAAAUAUCAGAAGAAAGCAUCCCUACCUGCACCCUCUUCUCCACGGAGGGAAAGCGCUCAACUGAGAAAGUCGACACGACGACGGACAAAUCGACCAGACGCGCUAUCUCGGGCCGUCGGCCCAUCCCAUCGAUAAGACCUUUUCUUGUGCGCAUUCCGUCUACCGGCAGGCAAGGAUGAAAGUAGCGGAGCAGUCUGCAAUAAUCAGGCAGAAGAAGAAAAGAAAGACUGCAAAGGAGCGGCAACCUACUGAAAUGAAAGGAAGAAAAAAAAGGCGCGAAGCGACUGAUCGAUGUUAUUGGAACAAGGGAUAGGCUUUUUUCUUAGUAUCAGUCCAAGAAAGAGGAAAGUCUACAAACUAAACCAGGUUCAAAGAAUAUUGACAAAGAAUAUUGCUCAAGAAUAUUUCAUUGUCUUUUUUAGUGGUCCGAAUUCUGAUUUCCUAAUCAAUAUAUAAAGAAUAGUCGCAAUAUUCGAUAAUGAAAGCCCACGUAGCGGUGCCAUAAGACAGGUCCGAAGGCUGGUUAAUAUGGAUAGGACUGAGGACGGGGAAUUUGGAUAGCUCUUACAGAUGUCAAUGUUUCUGACUCCUUCGGUUCAAUUAUAAGGGGGAUCGUUGGGGAAUCCAUAUAUAAAGAAUAGUCUAUAUAUUCUUUGCGCUCAUUGAUAAGGGCAAUAUUCUUUGCUUUUCGCAAAUCAAUAUCUAGUUCUUCUCAUAUUACAUUGAUCCUCUCAUUCCCUAAUAGUCCUUCGGACCUGUCUUAUGGCACCUCAUCAAAAUCCAUAUUAGCCUGGCAGCUAAGGAUAUUCUUUCUUCCCGCGGAGUGGGCUGACUUUGCACCUUGUCAUUGACUCAAAAAGAAAGGUCCAGGCGCAAAGAAUAUUGCGUAGAUCCAUUGAAUUUCUUCGAUCUAUUUCACUCAUUCCCUAAUGGAUAGGACUGAGGGCGAGACUGGUCCUCCGGACUUGUUUAAUGGAUAGGUCAACUCAUCUGGAGCUUGAUUUUGAAAAGAACUUUGCCGGUCCCACUCCGCGGUUGAACUAUACGGAGCGAAGUGAGCAUAGUGACCAGAGCAGGGAGCUAGAGAAGAAAGAUAAGUGGCUGAAGAAGAUCCGCCUGGUUUUGAGGUUCAUUCCGUAGCAUAAGGGGUUGCCGCAGAAGUGUCUGUCGGAAGAACUUCUUGCCCAAGAACGAAAUCAAAAAUCAUCCUAGGACGAAAAAAAGGGGAAUUCUCUAAUCGGCAGGCUGAACAUUCCCUCUUAAGUAAAGCAAGUCCACUGCCGGGUACAAAACAAGGACUCGUCAACAGGAAUUCAAUCUAAGAUAGCUGGUAGCGAGACUGGUCCGGAGGACGGGAAGAAUGAUCGGAGAGUGGAAAUAGGGAAUUCUUACAAGUGCAGUUGAGGCUCAAAGAAUUUGAGCGCCAUAAGACAGGGAUAUUGUUGACGCUUUGAAGAUCGAAAGACGUCAUCACCAGAGAGGAAUUUGCUCAAUAGAGUUGACUCUGGUCGGAUUAGUUUACUCAGGAUAGGGGAAUGGAGUUGAUAGACGUCGAACCCAACCCACCGGGGUUCAGUACUAUUAGAAUAAUAAUCAGAGUCCGAGGUCGGCGCAGAGUUCCUGUUUCAUCACUCUUAGUAUUCUGAGUUUAGGAAGUAUCUCAUGAGGAAUCAGAAUCAGGAACCCCAUCGUAAGGGAGAGGUGUAUCACACUGACGGCUUUCUUUAGAAAGCAAUUUUCGGACGCUCCUUCUUUGAAUUGCAUAAACCCGGUAUUUUUGUCUGAGAGUCAAACCGGGGCUUCUUUUGUCCAUUUUCACAUAAAAAAGUAGGGUCAAAGAAUGAGAGAAUAAGAUUUUUAGGGAAUUUUCAUCCGAAGAGGCAGAACCGGCAGCGUCUCGACCAAUCGGAAGAGGGAGCUCAGCUCCUAAAAUCAAAGCUCCAGAUGAGUUGACGAGACCAAAGGCGGAGUACGCCGCAGAGAGGAUAGGCCCAGCACUCAUUUCGUAAGUAAGUAAGCGAGACUCGACCAGUGGCAGUCAUCAGACUUGGAACAAUAAGAAGUUGGUGACCUCUUCCGUCCUUUCGUUUUUUGUCUUGCUGGAUCGGUUAGCGACCUCGGAAUCUGAAGGAUGCAAACUCCAACUUAGAUAGGCUCCCCCGGCCUAGUGCCAUAACUCUGAUUAGUAGAACGACGACCGGGAUCGGAGAGAAGCAGCUUUACAGAAGGGAAGGUUAGAAGUAGCUUCUUUCCUGAAUCUUCGAGGUAAGAGGCAGCAGCAGGAUCCGUUGAGGCGGGAGGAAGAGAGAGGGUUCGGGGCCCCCUUGCUGCUUAGUUUCCGGGGAGAAAAUACAAGCGAGCGGUAUGAGCUGCUGUUCUUGAAGGAGUUGCAGUCGCUCUUCGUCUUGCAGAAGUAGUAGUUGUCCCACCACCACCUUCUUUAUAUGUAAAGGCUUAUGUCCCAAUUUACAGUGAUUUAAUGACUUCCUUUUCUGGGGAGCCGCGGAAAGAUGAAAAAAGACAUUCAAAGGCGCAAUUCCAUAUGCCUUGAAUCGGAAGAGUUCCAUAACUUUACGAGGUGCGAACUUAUGUCCUGUCCCAGGAAAAGGAGAAAUGCCCGAGACUUAGAGGAUCGGGAUUCAGUUCCGGAGAAAGGCUCAACCUACGGGCAGAGGAAGUUGAAGUACGAGAGACUGAGUCCGCGCCCCCUUGAAAGCAAGUCUGAAUUUUGAUGUUUUAGAAGUUGCGAAAGUCGCUUUUCAAAUUCUUUGAACCUUGUUCAUUCUGAACUUUCUCCUCCUUCUCCUAUGUCCAAAAGUCAUGAAAUUCUCAAUAUGUGGUCCGAAUUCUGAUUUCCUAAUCAAUAUAUAAAGAAUAGUCUAUAUAUUCUUUGUCAAUAUUCUUUGAACCUCAAAUUUCAUUGAGCAGUUCUUCCCGUGUAGUGGGCUUACCUUUAAGACUCUUUCAGUUCCAUAAGACUGAUCUGGAGCUUUUGCAAAGAAGAGAAUAGAAUGGCGAUCACAAAGAAUAUGCCUUGAAUGAAUGAGUGCAAGGCUGAAAGAUUAAACUACCGCACCGUGGGGGAGUAAGAAACCGCAUCUUUGCAAAUUCAGAGCCACUAUUUUUCCUUGUAAGUGGCUUCGCGCCAUCUCGCCUUGGAAGAGAUUAGCCGGCGAAAGGCCUCGACUAAGAGACAGGCAAACCAAUCAGGGCAUCCAAUCGGCAGGGAGAGGGGUCGACGUGUGAAGUUUGCUUCUUUAAGAUAGAUAAUAGGGGAGUACUUGAGUUCUUGCAAAGACAUUAUUCUCAUUCAUAUAUGAUGAACGAUCAAUGAACAAGGCUCAAAGAAUUUGAUGCUCCGCGGUACAGUAGAAUCAGAGAGAGGAAGGAGGGACAAACUCCAAACAAAAGGCUCGUACGGUCCCCUUCGAGGAAUCGGAUCUCUAAGGAUAAGGGAAAGGCCUAACUAAACUAACUCACUCUUUUUCUUCCUUUUUCAGUCGCAGUGGAAGUGGCUGCUGAUGAGGCUCAAAGAAUUUGAGGAUCGCUCUUUCAUUCGUUACCGCUCCGUGGGUCGCAAAGUGGCUUAAAACUCCUAAACCUAAAAUAAAGACGAAAGUACUUAACUUAUGGGAGCCCACUAAAGAAAGCCUAUUAUCUUCUAAGAAAGUUCAAUCUUCUUUCGAACGAAGGAACUCAUAUUCAUUCAGCUAUAUACUCCUCCAGGACGUCGUCUGGACCCGUCCUCCGGACUUCUGAAUUCCAAAAAAAGGUGUGAAAUCCGCUAAAAUUGCCACUUUUCAUUAAAGCUCCGUCGGCUCCAUAAGACAGGUCCGAAGGACUAUCCAUCAGGAAGGCUCAAAGAAGAUUUUCUCUCAAAUUUGAAGUUCCACGCAAUAUUCGAGCAAUAUUCGAUACCACUACGGAGGCCCCAUAAGACAGGGAUAUUGAUUGAGAGGUGCAAAGAUCUAUGGCCCCCAAUUAUAUUAUAAGGGGUCCAGAUGACUAUCCAUUAGGGAAUUUGAGAAGCGCAUGAAAUUCAGAGGCUCAAUGUAAUAUGAGUUGAAUUGCGCCGGAGUCCGGAGGACCAAAAAGAAAGGUCCAGGGUCCGGAGUCCGGAGGAUUUAUCCGUAGGACCAUCCAUAUGGAAGGAAGUCGGACUAUCCGUAAUUAACCGAACUUUGCGCCUAGCCUCUCCUUACUCAAAUUGCAUUGAGCCUCCUCCGCCUCUUGAGCCUGAAUUAUCUCAGAUUUUCGGUUCAUCUUUCCAUUGAAUUUAUGGAACCCCCUACGCGGUGCAAUGAAAUAUGCGAUGACAUUCUUUCUUUUCUGGCUUCUGAUUGCAGCCGCUUAAAUUCAAAAAGCGCAAAGAAUAUUGCGUGAUGACUUACUAUUUUGCUCAUUCUUCCCGUCCUCCCUCCAUCCAAAUAAAAGGAGCCAGCCCAUGGAGAUGCUCGUCUUGAGCCUGAAUUUGAGAAAAGACUUCUGCGGAGAGCAAAGAAUUUGCGAAGAAGAAAGAUCUUUUUUUUCAGUGGUGUCAAAAACAAAGCGGAAGAUGAGUCUUAUUCCUUUGUUCAUUGACCUCUUUCAUUCGCGAGAGAAAAUAGACUAAAGCAGCCCAUUCUUUAGCUCAUUUAGAAAGAUUUGACUAGGGAGGUUUUCGGAUUUAAGUACUUUCGUCUUUAUUUUAGGUUUGAAAAGACAAGAAGAAGUUAAGCUUGAUAAAGUCAAGAGGAGGGGUCAGAAUGCUUUGAAUAGGUUGAAUAGUCCUCCUAUAAUUUAGUGGAUAAACAAGGCGCAAAGAAUAUUGCAAAGGUCCUUCUCAAAUUCUUUGAUCCUCAGGCGCAAUUCAAUAUGCGAGUAGGAGGAGCAAAGAAUAUUGCCUUCCACUAAAAGACUAGGACUGAGGCCUUCUAAUUGGAUCUGGUUCAAUUCCCACUCCAAAAACAACCAGAUGAGUCAGAAAGAUUUCCUUAAGAUAAUAGGCUUUCUUUUCAUAAAAAACCACUAAAGAGCGUGCCAAAUCCCAAUCUGCAACAGAGCGAGUAGCCUGGUCAACUACAAAAACAAAGGCUCGACUGAAAUUCUAAAAAACACGAAUAAAUAAGGUUUUUCCAUCUAAGGAAGUGUAGUCGCCAAAAGGCAAGUUGAACGAAGGGCCUAGGGAAGUCGGGGCUGAGCAACGGAACUCUACUGGACCCCUAUGAUGGGAUCGAACAAGCGCACCAAUGGAAGUCGGACUGAGUCCGAGUCUAAAAAAGUGCUCGUCUUCCCCUGUCCUUGCGGAUAGCGGGAGCAAGAGAAAGACGAUGUACCAGAGCCCUAACCAUCGGGACUGAGACAGAACUAAUGUUGACCCGACCUUGAUUGAUUAGAAAGAGCUUAGCAAAGCCAUCCACGAGAAAAGAGAUCAUUGUUUGGGCCUCAUCUUCAGCUCCUCCAUGGCUUCCUGGUAAAGUUCUGCUACGUGCCUAUCCUCUCUGACAAUGUCAUCACAUUGAAUAGCGUACUUCAGAAACCUUUGAUAGAAGAAAAAAUGGGGACGAGUGAAAAUAAACUAAUAUUUUUGAAUGAAUGAGUUUCGGAGUACGAAAAUAUGAUGAAUAGUCCUCCCUCCGACGGAGCAGCUUAGCUUAACUUAAUAUGUGACCAAAGGUCCAGAUGAGUAUAUAGCGUAGGAUCAAUGAAAUAUGAGAAGAAUUCUUUAUAUAUUGAUUAGCCUACUUUUCCUACGGGGUCCUCCGGACAGGUUAAUAUGGAUAUAAAGAAGUCAGAAGGACAUUCUUUCUUUUUUUUGGUCCUCCGGCACUUUCUCUCAAAUUUCAUUGAUCCUACGGACUAUCCAUUAUCAGAGAAAGAAUUUGAGAAAGAGGGAGAGAAGCGGAUAAGCGGAUCUUGCAUAAAUCAGCGGAUAUUGCACAAGCCGAUCUUGCUCUUUUGACCUGAUUGAAUUCCGUGACGGCGUAAACCAAUCCGCAAUAUUCUUUGCACCGCACCGUGGGGGAGGGCUCAUUCACUCGAAUUCAAGAAUCAUUAUUCUUUCAUAACCUGGAGGGUCAAAGAAUAUUGAGCAGAAUAGACCCGUAUUUCUCCGGACCAGAAACUCAAACAAGAAUCAAACUAUGUUCAUUUCGAAAAUCAAAUAGGACAAUGCCUUGCUAUUUCCCGGCUUUUUUGCUUCUAAAUAGGACUAAAUCGAAUAUAUAUAUCUAACGAAAAUUGUCUAAAAAUGACUGAUUUUUCAUGAUUUCUUGCUACUUCCCUAUGGGCAAAACCUAGCAAAAUCAUGUAUUUCCCUCCGCGAAGGACUAGUCUGAAAUCUAGCGGAUUCAUAAUUCUUCUUUCAUUUCUGAAUGAUUCUUGAAUUCGAGUUAAUGAGUGAAUUCUUCUUUUCUUUUCUUGACUUUGAACAGGUGCCAUGCAAUUAUAAAGGGUCCAGAUGUUCCAUAAGACAGGUCCGAAGAACUAUCCAUCAGGGAGGAUCAAUGAAAUAUGAUGGAUCCUCCUUAGUCGGCUAAUAAGCCAGUUAUGGGAGAUUCUUUAGUCCGCUAAUAAGUAGCUUGGGCUAAGAAUAGGUUGAAGCUCUUCUUCUUAGUCGGCAAAUAUAGCAAGUGUGAAGCGAGAGUGAGCUUUCUCUUUAGGUUGGAAUCAGUACAUCUAGAGUAUGUGAGGGGAGAAAGCGUCAAGCCUGGGAGCUAGUGCAAAGAUAAGCCCUCACUUCUUCCUUUCAUCUCGCUCGCUUUGCUCGAUUCUUAUAUGGAUAGUUUUCUUGCAGCCAAUCGAUAGCCUGUCUCUUAGUUCUUUCUUAUUCAAGAUCUAGUUACAUUUUCCCUAUCCAGUUUGAGUCUUUUUUUAGCCUAGGCUUUCUUCCAAUCCAAAUAGUAAGCUGGUCCAGGCUAGGAAAUGGCCCUAGUUCUUCGACCCGGACCCCUAUGAUUCUGUCUUCUUGCUUUGGGCUCCUACUCGAAUGAAUACCAGUCGAUACCUUCAUCUUUCAAUCACCGAGGUAGAAGUAGAAGGAAUGAGAACAAAAAUGCAAUUUCGUCCCAUAAAAAUAGAAUAUGAUCUCUUCUUUGAAUAUGUAUGCUCCACCUCUGCUUUACCGUAUCGGAAAAGAUAAGAGAAACUAUAUGUCAAGGAGCUAGCCUGGAACAAAAGAAAACUAGAAGUAACCCCCCAGGGGCUGGAAGAGAACUACCAAUGGAUUUAGCAAACUAGCACUCGCUGGUGAAAUAGUCCUCCAAAGCAGCAGCCUACUUUAGGAAUCCCCAAAAGCAUAUAAAAAAUGGCGGUCCUGUAACCAGCUUGUGCUUACUUUUAUGGAAUCACUGGCUCCGCAAAUUGGCCAAGACUGGAUCUCAACCCGAAGGGGAAAUAGAUUCCUUUUUUCUUGCUGGAGAAUACUUUUCAACUACAGACUUGGGAAGUCUUCCUGCUCCUGCUUUUUUGACCUUGGAUUGGAAAGGGCUGGAGGGGAGCUCCUAUACUAUGGGGAAGGCCAAAGCUAUUUACUUAAAGUCUCCUUUUGAAGCGAAGCACUAGGAAUGAUAUCCGAAGCCAAGAAGAAAACUCCUGCUCCACUGGGAAAAGGAAAAUAAUGGUAUAUAAGACAGAAAGUAUAUAAGAGCUUUACCAGGGGACCCCGUUUAACCACUUGCUUGACUUUGGGACGCCCUCCUUGAACUGAGAAAGUACUCUUUCUAUUGUAAAAGAGAAGAGAAGGUAGGGCAGGAGAAGGCAGAACCAACUAAAACUCACGGGAGUACGGCAACUCCUUAGAUCGUAUGGAAGGGGAGGAAUGAGACCAAUAGCUCUUUACCCUGCUGUCUGGUGGGGAACUUUCACUGGCAUUAACUAUGGGCGGGCACUCCCAAUUGUUGGCCUUAGUACUCGAAACUAGUUCGCAGGCUUGAGAAGAUGGUUAAACUAGCUAUUCUAGAUACAGGUAAUCUCUAAAGGGGGGAAGCAAAAAUGACUGCGCUUGCCCUGGCCUGAGAGAUUGAAAAACUCCUACUGGGUCUGCAACUCGCUCGAAUGCGGAAGGAAUUUGCAUAUCCCUGCCUUCUCACGCAAUAUGCUUUGCGCCUUGAUCUGUCAAUGACUUGAGACUGGAGAGCUCACUUCACUUUCUGGCAGUCACUUCGGAUAUACCUUUUGUCUUUGCCUUACCCAUUGUAAAGGAUACUGGCUAGCUUGAAAAGAGUGCUAGCGAACCUGCUUUUGACCUAGAAGCUGCUUUAAUACCCCGCUGACUUCAGAUUCAGAUUGGCUGGAGGUGAAGACCUUAGCAUUGGCUUACAAGGACUCCUCUCUCAAAAGAAAGGGUACUGGCAGUAGACAAAUUACCUACUGGUAAAGUCAAGGGAGGACCAGAGCAGCCACAUAGGGCAGUUUGACAUCGAUUGCGGGUAAAGACAGAUAGUCAGACCUAGCAAUCUAGUUAAUAAGGACCCCCCGGAGAAAGACAGCUUCACAAGUCAGUUCCCCUGGCUCGGGCUAUCUCAGGAAAGAGUUGGGAGCACAUUCUUUCUUUGAACAUUGAGAAAGGAGCGUAGCCACCGCUGAAUCGGAUUCUAUUCUUGGUGCUGGCAGAGGUUCAAACUAGCUAUGCACUAAAGAAGCCCUAACCUAACCCCUAUAGUCAGAGUAGUGAAGCAAGCGAACUGAACCAACUAACCUAGAUCUUCACUCCCUGGAAAUGAAUAGCUGACUGAAGCAGGCAUAGAUAGCAGAGGCAUUUCUAUCCAGUACUCCUUUCUUUCCAUCGAUCCUUCUUUCAAUGCUCUGAUAUGAGUUGAGUUUCGAGUAGUCGAUGAUUCGUCACAGGUAGGUCAAUAUUCUCCUACCUUUUCUUUGUUCUUUCUUCUAUGUCAAUAUUUCACCUUCUUUUCUUUCAAUGUAAAUGCUUCGGGUUCUACUAGACACAGAGCGAGAAGUCGUUCUGCUCUCUUCAGCUAUCCCUAACACACUAGACCAAGCGAACCAUCGUUGACCGAACCGUCUAACCUAGCUAGAUCUGAGCUACCUGGAUCCCUUUGUCAGUAAGUAAUUGAGGAAGAGUUACCUGGAUUGAGACAGUCUGAAGGAUUAGUACCCCCCUCGGUCCAAUUCCAGCUGUUCUUGCUCUCUCAGGACUUCCUAGGUCAAUUUCAUCGAGUAAAGAAAUUCUCACACAUAGUCAACCCAAUACUUGACUAUAAAGUAUUAGCUAAGUGCCUUCUUUUUUUUGAUCUCGCUACAAGUUCUAGUAUGCUCUUACGUCUUGAACCCUGUCUUUUAGACUAGCUUAUCUCCAGUAGCAGUGGUUGGGAAGAAGAUAUUCCCCUAUCCAGGAGUUUAGGCUUAAUAGAAUCCAGCCCUAAAUCCGCUUAUGAGAACUGAACUUCACGAUUGGACAGCUAUAAGCUAAGCACCAACUUCCGCAAGGACUGCCCUGAAGGAUAGGACAUUCUUUCUCUUACUAGAAAACUCCGAACAUUCUAAUGGCGCGACAGGCGCAAAGAAAGCUAAGCUAAUAUGGAUAUAAAGAACGACUAAGGACGGAGGAUCAAAGAAUUAUCUCAAGAAUAUUGCCAUUAUUUUUCAUACUUUUUCAAAGAAUCCCUAUAAGUUGACUUAUUCUCUACCCGCUCGGCCUCGUAAACUCUGUAUCAAGCCCUAACCCAACUCAGACUAUGAAACAGAAAUUCCGGUCCAGACCAGUCCGUCUUAUUCAAAACCGAGACUUCCGGCCGAAACUAGCACUCAAAGCGAUACUUAUUCAUCUGGAAGUCCCACAGCCAAGAUUACUCUCUCGUCGAUCCCAUGAUAAGCUAAUAAUAGGGUGAGCUCCCUCUACAUCCAGCCUGAGAUACUGAUUUUGCUAACUCUCAGCUCAAAGUCAAAUAGGUUUUAUAGGAGCCUGGAUCAUUCAAAAAGAAAGAAUGUCCUUCUGACUGAUUUUUAUCCAUAUUCAAUGAAAGAAUUCCUGCCCAUAAAAUCGCCGACUAAAUCGGAGAGAGCAUACUGAGUAUGAAGAUGGAAGACUAAGCUAAACUGGAAGAAGAUCUCUCUUUCUGGGUCUUAUCCGUCCUACUCUCUCAGUCUUGAAGUGACUGACUCUUCCUUCUGAUCAUAGUACUGAUCCUACUUCUGACUAUUUAUCUUAUUCAUUCUUCAUCGACUGAUGACUCGGAAGAAAUGGAACAAGGGGGUGUAGCGGACUCUCUCUCUUACUGACUUUCUGAUCAUAGUACUUAUGAAAGUGAACCAAAUCUUCUUCCUAUUCUCAUUCUAACUUCCGAUUCUUUUCAAAUCCUUUCCAAAUGGAGAAUUCUGACUUUUCUUCCAUAUUCAGGAGUUCAGUCAAUAUCCCUCGUACUCCAUCUAGAUAGAAAAUGGGAAAGUCCUCUUAUCGAUACUCUGCCAGACUCGGCUUCGCGGGCGCCUAUAUAAAAGAAGGGAGAGGCCUCUCAAAUACUUUGACCCUCUUCUCUUUUUUCGUGGUAAGAAAGACGGAGCGGUCUAAGUUCCGGAUCGAAAAUCGAGUUGGGGCGAAGCAGUAUUCUGACGAGGGUGCAGAAUUAUGAGGAUAUGCUUUCCCCGAAAACUCUCUUUACUCAUUCGAUCUGCUUCCGAAGAGGUGCUAGAAGCCGCCUCAUCCCUGAUUUCGAGGUGGGAAGCCGUGAGUCGGGUCUUUCUUUCUUCAUUCGCUAUUGCUUCAAGCAAACUAGUCAAAUACUUGAUUAAGUAGUUUCGGGGAUAGGAAUAGUCAGAAAUUCAUAACUAUCUUCUUGCGGAUCUUCUGAAAUAAGAGGUCAAAUUCAAAGAAAAAGGCGCACUCACAGAAGUUUCAGUCAGAAGUUGCCUCAGUCCUCCUUGGUCCCCUGAAUCAGAAUCAAGGAUCUUUCAUCCAUCCCUUCUUCUUUCUUUUGCAGUUGCAGUGGAAGUGGGAGUUUCAGCUCCAGAGGCUUUUCUUGAGGAAGGAAUAGCGAGACCCUUUUCAUUGAGGCGGUUGAGCUGGCGCAGCUUCUCCCUGGCGCCCAUAAGAGUCUGAAAUCCAUGAUGAAGGACUACUCCCCGGAUCAGGCAGAGAGGGUAGAGGCGAGGAAGCUUUAGCUUUGGAUGAAUGGGCUUGAAGCAAUGAGAAGAAGAAGAGCGUAUUUUUAUACCUCCUUCCAUCCACUCCUUUUUCCGCACUUCAAUCUGAACUAAGAAAAGGGGAAGAAGAAGAGCAGCUCUCCCGACCUAUCAAAUCUCCAUCUUUCUUUCCCGAAAGCAUGAGUCAACAGAGUAAGCAGUCUCGGCAGAGAAAGGGCUUGGACCAAGCUAUCACUCAUAUCCUAUUGGAGUUGGGUCGAUCGGGCAGUCUGUUUAGGAAGUAGCUGCCGUGGAAGAAGCGGCCUUUCCUUCCCCUAUCUCUGGGAAUCAAGUUCCUUCUUUCUGAAUUUACGGAUCGAGCGAAGACAUCUUGAGACCAUAGGCUUGAAUCCUUUAAGAAAUAUCCCACUUUGCCUUUCUUUGACUGAUAGAUCCGAUCGAUCCUUCUACUAAGACAAGAAAAGCGACUUCCGAAAGAUCUCUAAGCAAUCUCUAUUCUAUUGGAAAAGAAGUGGAACUUCGAGUCUAGAAACUUUCUUCCACUCAUAAGGCUUACGAAUUCCGAUGAAAAGAGUCAAUCUAAAAAAGACUGCAGAAAGCCUAUCCUCCUAACCUCUGAUUUAUGGGGGUCUCGCUCCCUCUUUCUAUUUCUAUCGGAAGACCAAAUUCUCUCUAUCUCCGCUCCGCUUCUUUGCUCUGGUCUCGCUUCUUCGCCCUAGUAAAGCUUCCCGAUUCUUUUCGGUAUCUGUCUUUCCUUAUUCAGAAAUGAAUAUGAAUUGAAGAAGAAAAAUCCCUUUCCGUGAGUCAGGCUCAAAGAAGAUUUCGAAAGAGAGAAAGAAUAUUUUAUUUCACUUUCUUUUGUCUUUGUCAUUAACAUAUGAAAUUAGGACAGCGACCCUUUCAGAUGAAAUGAGGUCUUAGGCUCUCGAAGGAGACGAGGUUCUCUUCCGAAAAGGGAUUUUCUGACUAAUGUAAUGGGCAAGUCCCUUUCUUAGAGGAGAUUCCAGUAGCGGGUCUAUAACGUAAAUCAGAAUAGAAUGAGAGAGAGGAUUGGGACCGAAGGACAGCUUCCACGCCAGGAAGGAAUUAAUAAGACAGCUGGGUGUGCCGGCCAUAUGUACUUUGAUUUUCUUUUUUCACAUUCAAACGGGCGCGGAGGCAAAGAAAGGGAAAAAGGAAGGCCCCAUUCCCAUUCAACUCAUCUGGAGCUUGAUUUUUCACCAUUCCGAAGUGUGAUCUAUUAACCUCCGGGAUCUCCGCGAGAUUCUCUGUAGGUAGAUAGGGAGCUUGCUUUCGAGUUCGGAAUAGAAAGAAGUACGAUGUCAGCGGCCCGGUCUCCCACUUGAAGGAUAGGCUUUCUCUCUAGUAAAGCUUGCUCCCGCCCCCCCUAGAAAAGUAGGCCUUAAUCAAUAUAUAAAGACUUCUCCGCAAUAUUCUUUGGGCCUACGGUCCGAAGGAGUCAGAAACCACAUCUUUGCAACCUUUGUGAGUCAGAAACUCAAAUCAAUAUCCCGCGUAGUGGGCCAUAGAUCUUUGCGCCUGCUAUUUAACAGCUUUUUUUCUCCAUAAUACUUUAUUAGUUAUUUAACAGCUUUUCUUUUCCAUAAGACUUUUCUAGCUAAAAUAAUGAAAGGCCUAUCCAUUAGAGAAUUUGACUUGCGACGUCCGCUUUAAGAGCCUAGGGAUCGUGGAAGGGUGAGUUUGCUUCCCCCAGUAAGCACGCCCUAAGAUGCUGCUUGAGAUCUUUCGGCCUUCUGUUCUUGCAGCAGUUGAAUAAGUGUGUCCGCUGUGGAUUGAAGCUCUUGACCGUAUUUCCUAUAAGAUACCGUACUUCCAGACAGAGGUCUUGGUUUUCUCCGUAGCUAAGGGCGGACAAUGAAUCCGUACUUCAUCCUCAGCGAAAGGUACCUUGAAGAAAGUCUCUGAAAAAAGGGAAAGCUCUCACACUUAAGAAAAGACAAGAUUUUGCCUAGGGUCCUUGAAAUCCCACUAUUUAGAGGGGACAUCCGCUCAGGAAGAGGUUAGAGUUGAAGCGCUAUCACUUUGAGAUUGAAAGUAAGGAAGAUGGAUCGGGGUAGGGACCACUAGGUGGGGCCUACUUUAGAUGAUAGGUUAGAACCUUCUCGACCAGUACUUCUCUAGAAAAUAGGUAAGAGAAAGCCUAAGGAAAAGAAUCUGUACUCAAGGGUCAAAGAAUAUUGACUUGAGGACAGUCUUCUUACUUAAGGGAUGAUCUCGGAGCAAAGGCGUCAUGGACCCUCUGGCCUAUGGGAGGAAGACAGGGAGGGGAUUGCCGCUCGAAAGAGAAGAAGGGCAUCAGCCAUACCUGAAGCGGAGGCAGAAAAGGGCGCUUCGGGAAAGAAAGCCGUCAGUCCGAGCUUUCUCUUUUUCUUUCAGCAGUUGCCUCAUCUGGUAGGGCAGAUCUCUCUUUAUGAAAUUAAGGCCUCAUAAAAGUUCUUCAUUUAUUUACAUGUAAAAGUGAGAAGAACUCUUUUAAGACGUUAACGGAUGCAAACCCCCUUUCAUCCUCUUCAUCUUUCAUGGGCAUUCCAACAAGAAAAAGGUUAGGGCGCGGCGACUCUCCUCUUCCUAAGUACUACUCGCAUAAGAAUCGUUUUCAUGAUCAAGAUGAUCAGACAGAGGGAUCCCGAACUGGACAAAGGUGAGAGAGGAGAGGGAAGCCCCAGGAGGUAAGCGAAGUCAUCAAGAGAAAGCGAAGGUUGAUCGUAAAAAACCUUUCUUUUCGAUUUCUAAUCAUUUUUUUUAGAAGAGAAAUGGAAUCAACCCCUCGUUCUACCCGUGGGGACGGUUGAGCUGACCAUACUAAACUGCUCUUCUCUUGUGACAGAAGAUGAUAGUGGUUCUAACCGCGCGCGUCUCACCCGACGCGACCGAGUUUCUUUGAAUGUGCGAUUGUAGAGCUUAGAGGUUCACUCCAACCUGGUUUUUUAGGCUGAAUGCAAAGGAAUGAACCAGAGGAGUCUUCUCAUGGAAUAUCUUUCUUCUUAUCUACUUUACCGCUGCAAAUUGAAGCUGGGUCCGUCCCAGGCCUCCUUAUUUUUUCUAGAAGUAGUCCUUUCUUUUCUUGGGUUCCGUUCAGUCGCUUUUGAAGCUCUUAUUGCAAGAAAUAUGGUAUAUUCACGAGGCGAAAGAAAUGGAUGAAUGUGCGAGACCGCGGAGGGGGCCAUAAAUUAGGUACAAUCAUCAGAGUUAUCGAAGAGCGGCUCGUCCAUACAAUACAAUUGGGCUAACCCAUGAAAGUCAAAGCAAGUCUUCUUUAUUUAUGCUGAAAAACUCUCCUCUGGCUUCGGCUCGAUCUAUCCAGGGUCUUUGCUCACCGAUACUAUGUAACCAAGCCCAAUUCUUUCUACUAUAUGGAGCGGGUUUGAGAGUUCGUUCGUCACUUUACUCAUCCAACGGGAAAGGUUAUGGGUUGCUGCAACAAAGCCUCUAGGUUCAUUACCCUGAUCAUGGUGGUAGGGGUCACCCUAUAAACCCGGACAGAUAAGAGAAAGGGAAUUAGGCGAGCUCCAUCAUCAUUAUGAACUGGGGAAUGUGAAGAGAGAUAUACCCUGAAAUUGGCUAGCAAGCUGGCUCAAGUGGGUCAAAUGGUAUGCUUCAGUCUGUUCUGAUCCGCUGAUAACGAAAGUACGAGAUCCGGACAUAGAUCUUUGAAAGUACGGACUAAAAGGAAGUUAAUAUGGACCUGAUCUCAAAUUCUCUAAUGGAUAGUCCUUCGGACCGCUCCAAAAUAAAGAAAAGAAAAGAUGCGCAAAGAUGAUCGACUCCUUAUUUAUGCUGCGUAGGAGGACGGGUUCCCCAAGAAUAUCCCUGUCUUAUGGCGCAGUUCUUCCCGUGUAGUGGGCUGACUUCAUUGAUCCUCUUGACUUCUUUAUACCAUAUUAACCUUUCCUUGGACUCAUAUCCACAGCGCACAGAUGGAGGAGGGGCACCAAGGCAGAUUGAACUGAUAUCUUCGGGUGUCUUAGGCCCUAGCCGCGAAAAGGCAUGUUUCAAAAAAAGGGUAGGAAAAGGGAGAAAGACAGAAGAAGUUCGACGAGAGGUAUGGGAGAGCUUGCUCAAGCUGCGAGACUAAAGGGAGAGGUUGCGAGCCCUUGCCGAACUGUACCGUCAGGGGAUCCCCCAAAAGGUCUCCCUAAGGCGAGCUUCUCUAUGGUCGAAUCCCUUCGCCUUUCUCUUGGCGAGCAGGUUAGUGGUCCGCAAACUAAUAGUCCAAAGACUAAGAUUUUGAAUACUACUUCCCCGCCUCAAUGAACAAAGGCUGAGUGAGGAUGAUCUUACUAGAGAAUAAGUCGUAUCGAACCCUCUUCUUGUAUUGGACGCUCGGGAUCGUUCUAUACUGGAAAGUGGAGCAUAUGAUACCAGGGCCUAGCCCGCUGCACAUCCCUUUCGAUUUCUUGACUCGCUUACCUUGCGGAUAAAUGCGCUUCGCUUCGCAUAGUAAUCUUUGUAAUAGUCUUCUUUUUUAGGUUCUACUUUCCCUAUGUAAAAAGUGAAAAAGAAGACUGAAGUCCCCUCUUUCAAUGCCAUCUCCUACUAAUGGAAUAUGAGUGAAUAGACUCUAUUUCUCAUAAUAGCUUCUUCCCACAAGAAGAGUGCCAUCGACUGAUGAGGCCCCAACGGAGACUGAGUACUCUUACUCUCACUGAGGCUGGAGGAAGAGACAAUACUAACUUCUCGCUGACUCUUUCUCGAUCCUUAUUAACUAGUCGAGAUGGAAGAAUUCCGAUUCCUUUACAUCGUCUUCCUCUGAUUCAACGACGACUUAUGACUGCAAUUAUUCAAAGAAUGAAAGCAUACUCCUAUCUUCUCGGGAAUAGUGAUAGCUUGAAGCUUCUACCCUAUAUUGGUCUACGGAUCCCCCUACUUAUCAGUCGUAUGAGAACCUACCCGCUCCUGCUUCCGCAUAUGAUAACCUCUUCGGCUCCGUCGGACCCCUUAUUCAUUUCGUCUGCCUCCCGGUCUGAUGAGAAUGACGGACUCCGCUUCAACUGCUUCCGAUUUAGCAACGGGUCAUUACUCAGAAUGUGCCCUUUCAGCUUCAAGGGCUCCGAUCCCUCUGCACCCGUAGGUCUCCACAUUCUACCCUUUAUUACCUUCGUCUUUUCCCACUAGUUCUAGUAUCGGUCAUACGCUUAUUUAUCAGAAAAAGAGAUUCUAAUUCAAUAGGAAAAAACAAGCAAUAGUACCUCUGCGCAUCCGCGUCGCGAAGGUGAGCCGCUAGUCGGCUUCCUAGCCAAAGACCUCUUCCUUAAUAAAAUAAUGUGAAUUUGAUAAUAAAAUAAGGGAAUCGUCUUAUUUAAUGGAAAGCCUAUCAUGUUCCUGCUUUAUUUAGCUUUCUUUCUCAGAAUGCAUGUCUUAAGCAAAACAUUUAAGAAUGCAUGUCUUAAGCAAAACAUUUAAGCGGAAGCCUUGCUGAAUUCAUUUUCGAGAAAUCAAGGCUCCAUAAGACAGGGAUAUUGUCUUGCAUUCGAAAGGCGCAAAGAAUAUUGCGGAGAGGACUAUUCAUCUUUCCACUUAUUUGACUCUUCUUUGAGCUCUGAAUUUGAGCUAAUAAAGCAGUCAGAACCUACUUACGCAACUGGGACUGAGACUUCUCCAUAUUCUCUGGUCGUCGCAAUAUUCUUUGCGCCUAACUCCUCUCGCUUUAGUUUAGCUCUCGCUUAACUCCUCCUCCCGUAGAAAGAGCUGCUUUUGAGUCCAUUUUGAACCACAUGAAAAGAAGAAAUCCAUAAAUAAGAGGUUCAAAGAAUAUUGAGUUAGACCAGGACCUGAGUACGAGGAUGCGAAAGGAGCUCGACGAGAAGAGGAUGCGCCAUCCCUUCUUGCUGGAGAAGCUCUCGUGGCUUAGUUGCGCCAAAGCAUGGGGGAUUUUCCCUAACAUCUGAAUGAGUGAAGUAGGGAAUGAUUAUCAGUCUUCUUUCCAUAUUUCCAUAGUUUCUACAGUGGCUGAACAAGAAGAUCUUUCGGCUGAGGAAUUAGACCGAGCCUCACAUCAAGAUCACUCGGAAGGAGUUAAGCUUGAUAAAGUCCUUCGCCUAAGAGCGCAAACCAAAGGCAAAGGACGGGUCGGCGCGAAGACAAGGUCCUCCCUCGGGACAGGAAGGAGGAAUGGAGUGCGAAGAGUGUGAAAUUGGGGCCUUCUUUCGCACAAGGGCUUGAAUCCGUGGGCGAAUGCGAGAAGAGGUGGCCUAUUUUUCCUUGGAAAAAGUCGUCUUUCUUUCUACUGAUAUUUUCCCCUUAUCAUGAACAAGCGCAAGAACUGCCUCAAGCACAAGGGCUACUUCCGAAACCUCCGCAACCCCCUCGCCUGCAACCGCAUCUCUUAGCAGCCUCCGAACCCCUUUUUGGACCUGGUUUGCAUCGCGGAACGUCAAAUCAGCCUUUUGUUAGGGAGAACCCACUCCGCGGUUUUGAGCAUAUACAGAACGCAACUUUUUGUGGUCCGUAAAUAGGUCUUGGUUGUAUGAGUACAAUUACAGUCGUUCUAACCGAUCAAGCAUAUGCGCUCCGAUCCCGUGCUUCGCUUCCUCAACUGAAAAAGAAUAGUGACCCACGUGACUCUUCGAAAGGCGUGGUAGGCGCUGCGAUAACCUCUCCUUUGUCGACUCUGAAAAAACUGGAAAUUCCCUAGCCAGGAUAGACAGAGGGACUCUUCCCCGAACUGAUAGCUAGCUUUCCAACUCAUUCCCUAGCUUGAACAAGGGCUUUCCUGAAAGGACUACUUCCCCCCUUUUCCGAACUCAUCAGACUAUUAAAGCAUAUUCGAUUCUAUCCUCGGUGCAACUUCUCUUCUAUCUUAUGCUCGGGUAUUUCAUAAAAGGUCAAGUCAAGUAAGAUAGAAAGUCAAGGCUCUUCUCGUCGAGCUACCUUCGUCUUCCGCUCCGUGGGGUCGAGCAACUUUCUUCCACGAAAGAACUGACUUCAGGUCCGGGUUAGGGCCAUAUCAAAAGAGUGAUAGUGCUUGAGCUUUCUUCUCGUGACCUUAAAGGCCUAAGAACCUUGAGUAGAAAGAAGGCAUCUUAUCUUUUUUCAUGCCUUUCCUUUUUGAUCGCCAUUCUCUUCUUUGUUCUUGUAUUUUCUGGGGACCUUCGCGGCUUUCUAUUUAAGAAUGGCUUUUUGGUAGCGCCUCUUCGGAAGGGUGAACCACUGAGAGGGUUUUUCCUAUAAGUCAGAAUCAAGUCUUCUCUCUUACCCGGGAAUCCCGUACGAGGGUAGGGAGAUGGAAAGAUCGGAAGUAGGUCGCAUGUGUCUUGAGUCUGAAGUCGAUGAAAGGCUCUCGAACUCUAUUCAAUGAAUUCAGUUCUUGCUCCUUCGGUUAGUGAAUGAGUAAAGAGAGGUGCAAAGAAUAUUGCGAGGAGCAUGAAUCUUUAACGGUUCGGAUUCGCUAGGGUAAUUCACAAGACCGGAAAAGAGAGAUCAGAGGUUUCAAAGUAGUUUCUCAUAUCCGUCUCGUCCGCUGUCCCACUUAAGGAUCGGAGUUCAGAGAGCAUGUAAUUGGGGUCAUGACAUAUGACUUGGCUAAAAGCCUGAUUGCUAGCUCGGAUUCGCACGUCCGGCAGCUAUUCCAUUGCGGGAUGCUAACCCGUCCUCCGGACUAUUCAAUCUAUUACUUUGGAGAUCUCGAACGGGGAAGAAAUCUCUUGACCAAUAACUCCAUUUACUGGGCGAAAGAUGUCUGACUUUCUACCGUGAAACCUUCCCGCUUGAACCAUGUUUAGAGUGAAAGGUUAGGCCUUGGCCUGUAGAUCUCAUUCAAUGCCCUACCAUCCGAUACUGGGAGGACAAAAGCGACUACUUGGACGAGGGGAUUCCCUUUUCUCUUAUUGUACGUCCUCGCAAUAUUCGAUAAUUCAGGCUUCGGACCGGUCGAGUUUACCGUUGAGAUCCAAUCCCUAUCCCCCGAUGUUCAUUCAGGACAUAAAGAAGCCGGGUCUGAGCCCACUACGCGGGCAUUGAAUGAGAUCCCUUUCUCUUCGUAUCUCGAACAAAGGCUUUCAUCCCUUGUUGGGGGGAGAGAUCUAGGGAAGAAAGAGUGGAAUGAGUUAGGUAAGAAAGAGGUGCUGCCCACGGAGCGGUGAACGAUCACGAGAAGGAAGAAGAAAGCUCAAGAGGAAGACUGAAUUAUGAUACAGAAUUUUGAUAUGAAUUAGGCUAAGUCAAAGUUGCUUGCUUUCUUGAACUCUUUUCUUUGUCUUUGGCGGAACGCCACUUUUCAAGAAAAAAUGGUAGUAUGGCUGGCAGCAAGAAAGAAUGAAAAAUCAGCCCAACGAAGUUGCAUCAAUAUGAAUCACUCUAGGGAAAGACCUGUUUUGCAAGGUUUUGGGGAAAUCGCUAUUUUUCAAGGGGCACUCAAAUCUGUCAAAAAACUACUAGUGGAACGCAUCGCAAAUUCUUUGCGCCUCCAAAAUCAUUGAAGCGAAAGGCUGAAUUCAUAUUCGCGGACAGUCAAAAUUCAAGAAAAAAGGCAGGUUCAAAGAAUAUUGACAAUGAAUGAAUAGUAUAAAUCCUUGUUGUAAUUUGCUUAAGACAUGAAAUGAGAUUUCUUUCUUAGACUGAUCCUACAGAGUCUUAUUCAAAAAUAAUAAGAUAAGCGGAAGAUUGAGUUUACGAACGAGAUAGAAAAGUAUGAAAUCCAUAUGAACUUCUUGGAAUGUGAAGAAUGAAGGACAUUAGGAAAAGCGGGUUCUUUAAAGUGCGAAUUCAAUGGCUGUAUUUUCGAUAAGAUUACUUGGGACAUAGCAGUCAAAAGCGAAAUCAGGCUUUUAGCCACAUUCAUAAGGCAUGAGCUUCUCCUUAAACACUCACUCACUUCUCCUUCAACUGGCACUGUACGAACCACCGCUACGUGGGCGUCAAGACCCUAUGGUCCUACUACUUCCCAGUCUCGGAUUCCUUCCUAAAGAACUGAAACUGCUUCCUACCUUCCUCGAUCCUUUGUUGGCUUCCUCUUGUUUUGGGCAAAACUGCGAAAGAAAGAAGUUGAGAUGAACAAGAUAAUAUAAGAUAAGAAAGCUCUUCCUCUUCGUCUUCUGUCUUCAGUUAAGUAAACAUUACUCUAAAGGUACGAAGAUUAGAUAGCUUGAUUAGAGUCCUUUACCGCGUAGUGGGCGUGGGGGAAGAUAGCUUGAGAAAAGAGAUCGAAGCAGGCAGGGGAAGAGGAAGACUACUCGUUAUGUUCGUGCCCAGACCAGAAAGAACUGAAAGACGGUCACAAAGACUGAAACCUCUCUUUCAACCACUGCGACUGCAGCAAGGGAUGCCCCAACCUCGGGUGGUAGAGAGAAGGAUGAUCGGCAACCUCGAACCCUUCCGCCGCAGGAGAAGGCGCAAAGAAUAUUGCGUGGGAAUUGAGUUGAAAGAAGAAAGAUCUAAGGAUCUGAAAGAGCAGCUUCAGCAACGGCUACUUCUGAAAGAAGAACAGUGACGACAUAAACUUCCGCAAGAAACUCCGCUUGGGUCCGGCCCGCGGCUUCGUUCUUCGAUCUAUACUAUACUUCGAUCCAAGAAUUCAGAGUUUGUGCUUUCCCUUGAACUCAGACUCCUUAUCUGCAGACAGCGGACGAUCCGACCCGCGUCUUCUUUUCAUGUGAUUUGACCGCUCCGACGGAGCAAAGUGAUUUUACCGAAGGACUCAAAUAGGUUGAAUAGUCCGGAGGACCCUCCCGCUCCGUGGGAAUUGAACCGCGGAAUUUCCGUGGUUAUUAAGCGGCUUUUUUUCGGAAUAAGACUUGAAAAUCAAAGUGGCAAUAAUCGCAUAUUUCAUUGCGCCUCCAUCAAAGAAAGGUCCAGGUGAUUUAUCCUACGUCCGGAGUCCGCAGUCCGCAGGGCCAAAGAAAGGUCCAGGUGAUUUAUCCGUAGGACCAUCCAUAUGGAGGGAAGGAGGACUAUCCAUUAGAAGGAUCAAAGAAUAGACCCGUAUUUCUCCGGACCAUAAACCAUAAGAAAACUCUGUUCAUUGAUUUGACCUUUCCUAGGAGUUCUUCUUUCAUUGCGUUUUCCCGGCUUUUUUGCUUCUAAAUAGGACUAAAUCAAAGAUUUCUAUUUAACGAUAAUUGUCGAAAAAUGACGGAUUUUUCAUGAUUUCUUGCUACUUUAUAGGCCCAAAACCUAGCAAAAUCUUGUAUUUCCCUCCGCGAAGGACUAGUCUGAAAUCUCCCAUAUUCACCUCUUUCUUUUUCAUUCCCAUUUUUUUCUUCUUUCAUUAUCGUUAAUGAGCUUCUUUUCGUCAAUAUUCUAUAUUCUUUUCACCUUUCUUUCUCCGUCCUCAGUCCUAUCCAUAUUAACCCGUCUGUCCUUCGGUCUUAAUACUCCUCGAAUAAGAAGCUGGAGGCUGGGUCAAGAUGAGAUUCUUUCUUUUCUGGCGUAGGAAUAAAGAAAGCACGGAGCGGGAAGAACUGGAUAACGUCAUUCUUUUCAUAUUUCUAGAGUAAGCGAAAGCGAAGCGCUAUGCCGGCGGUCUUUGAUCUCUCAUUUCAUUCAUAACGAAAAGAGCUGGCCGAAAGCUAUCUAUUUUAGGGUUCUUCCUUAUUCCCUUACUUGAUGGAAUGAGUCACUUCCAGAGAGAAUGAGACCUAGUUUACGAGUAAGCUGCCUGCCUGAUCAUCGGCUUUCCAGAGGCAGUUCGUACUCAGCCAGAUCUUCUUCUUUCCCACUACGCGCCAAAAACAAAGGUCUAUAUGAACUCGCAAUAUUCUUUGGGCCUCCUACGCUUAAUCUUAAUAGGGGGAUGAUCUUGGGCUCAAAGCAUUAAUUUUGGAGAUUCCCACUAAUAUAAUAAAAGGCGGAUCUUACCUUCCCACUUGCCUCAACCCAAAACAUUUAAGCGGAAGCCUUGUUCAAAGAAAGAAUAUUGAAAGGUCUUUUUGGCGUCACAGGAAUGGAACCCACCAUUUACUCAAGUCAAAGCCACACAAGAACUGGCUAGACACCAGAGGUACGAUUCCCCGCGCCCCUUCGUUGAGGUUAGAAGUCGAGACCCGUUGAGGAAGAAAGAGCUUAAUAAGAGGCCCAAGGGUGGAGGAAUCAGAGGAUCGACCCACUCAAGAGGCAGCACCCUGAGGCUACGGUUCGACCAGCUGUUGCAGUCGCAGUUGAUGGCAGGGAUGGAUCCCUUUAUGUGCCUUUUGUUCUUUCUUUAUAAAGAGUUGCUGUAGUUUUCAAUUGGCUUUUCCUACUUUUCUUCUUUAUAAGCAAUUAUUCAGAAAGGAGAAAAGAAGAAAGCCGUCAGUCCAAAGGAGCAGUGCAAAAAGGCGGAUUUUCAGUUCUUUCUUCCCUCUUCCGAUAAUUCUUUGAGCCCUCCCCCAGUGCAAAGAAUAUUGCGAAGACCGCUCCGAAGGAGUCUUAUGAAACCCGGACCCUUCUUUUUAAAGAAGAAGAAGGACUAUCCAUUAGAGCGCCUCCGGACUGGAGCCUUUCAAACUCCUUUUCAUGAGAAAAAUACAGGGUUUGCUGCAGCAUCAAAACCCUUGAUUGAAGAGCGAAAUCCCUUAUAUGCGAGGCCUAUCAUGUAAUCCCGGGAAUGAGCUUGAACCUUGAAAAAGGGUAUGUAGCGGUAUUAGAUUGGGAGAUCUGCCUCCUCAGCAGGAACGAGAACAGCCACUUUCUAAGAAACUUCUGCAAGAACAUCUGGUCGAGCCUUGCGCAAGAUAAACUGGAAUAGGCCGAUUCUUAUAUGGGUCCGACCUGUCAAUAUUCUUUUCACCUUCUGAAAGCAUGAAGUGAGGAUCUGACUCCUUUCCGAACCGAACCUACUCCUAACCCGAUGAAUUAGGCGCGUCCUCCCUCUUUCGCUGACUUCUUCUGAUUCUGAUAGCUCUCGCUUCGUACCAGGUGGUCGUAUUCUAGUCUUUGAUUUAUGCAUUCUAGAUUAUUUAGCUUGGGGAAUUUCUCCUCUUCUCCCGCUACUGCCACUGAAACUACAGCAUCUUCCUCAAACUCAUUUAAAAAGAUACUCACUUCUUCAGACUUUGAUUUUAGUAGGUUCAGACGUCCCCUACUUUGAGAUUGGGAAUAGAAAGAAGAGUAGUUGCCCUAGUUCUUGAUCCUCGCACUUUCUUGCUCUCCGAGUGGGUCAGCACCCAGGCGCCUGCUUGCCAUAUCGAGGACUUCUACCUUACUUAUGAUUAGUAAGAUGACGAAAGCUAUGGAAUCCACUCUGUCUAUUAUCCACCUCCUUCAACAUAUAUUUGUGAUAAUGGCUUUGCCACAGCGACUGCCUCCCUAUAUAUUUGUGAUCACUCUGCUGAAGCGGAAACUGGGUCUCCCGCUGCUUCGAUCUCUUGUCUCGCUCGCCCAUAACCCUAGAUCUUCGGAGUGGUCCAACUCUACGAACUUCAACGGGGGCAGCAGACUGCAACUGAUCAUGAAAGGGAUGAGGCUGUAGAAAGAGCACUUAAGCGGCCUCCAUCAGAUCUAUUUCAGUUCAGUAAUAGACUCGGGAAAGCGCUUGAGGUCUAAGGAUCGCCAACUUUGAAUAAGAAAAUACCGCCUCAAUGAACAAGGGGUUGGUGGCCGGAAACCACUAGACCUUGAAGAGGCGGAGGCGCAAAGUAUAUUGCCUUCCGAUUUCUUUUGAAUUGCUCUUUCAUUAGUUCUUCCCGAAGAGAAGUUAGCUAGGCCCAGAAGAGGGGAGAGAGGAAGCAACCCAAGGAAGGAAUUCUAGAGACGGCACAUAAAGGGAACCCCACCAGAUUCAGCCCCCACCACCCCGGAGGUUCUAGGUCGGCAUAGGUCGGCAGAAGCGAGACCGCUACGUGGCUUUCUUUCUUUGUCGGUUCUUUCUUCUCUUGUUCUUCUUCUCAAAUUCUUUGACCCCUCCCCCAGUGCAAAGAAGAAAAUAAAAGGGACCAGAUGUGAAAAGAAGAUUUCCAAGACUGGAAGGAUAGAAGGCUCAAUGCAGAAUAUUGCGGUUUGCGUGAGAGGCUCAAUUCAAAGUUCAGCGGGAAGAACUGGUCCGGAGGAUUUAUCCGUAGGACUCUAAAACGGAGGACCCAAAGAAAGAUUAGACAUUCACUCUUUUUCCAAGAAUUGAUGCACUUCCAUAAAGAUCGACUUAAGAAAGCAAGAGGAGAACCGGAGAGGUUUUGCUGGAUGAGAAGGAUCGGCCAGCCCAAAGCGCGAAUCUCACUAUUUUCUACGAUUCAGACUUAUUCCCCUUCCUAACUAAUGAGUAAGCGAAAGCGAAGCGCUAUGCCGGCGGUCUUUCACUGACGAAGCGAAGAGGGAAGAGAAGAAGAAUCCUACGGAGGGAUCGAAGGGGCCAGAGGCUAGGUAAUCUCUCUCCAACUAGCUCUACCCUGGUCACUGGGUCAAUAAUAGGUCCGGUGGGUAGGUUGUAUUUUGAUGAUAAAUAAAGGAUAAGGAAAAGCUUUUCUUCUUUCAUCUAGAUUUAGAAGGACAAGGUUUAUUCAUAAGCAGAUCGAGAACGAAAUCCUUUCUUAGGACUUGCGGUCUGUCUUCAUAGUCGGAGAUCAUCAAGGUGGUCGACCCGGUCGAUGUAGAUGAUCUAGAUAUAUUUGACCUAUAAAGAUAUGCGAGAAUAUGAGGUCUUCCAGACAGGAUAGGAAGACCCCCAGUCCGCGCUAUCACUUUCAGAGAAUACUCGGGGAAGGGGUCAAGACCUAUGCCUCAUCUCAUUCCGAGAAUAGUUCGAGAUCGGCUUAGCUCAUACCUCCCAGGGACCACUUUCUUCGAUAACCUUUCUGGGCGACUUCCUACCUCUACUAAAUUGAGUUAUUAUAUUUCAACGAUAUUAUGAAUAAUCUUCCCGGGCUAGUCCAAUAUCCGCCUAGGCUCCGAUACUCCUCUUGCUUCACACCUUCCCGAUCGAGCAGCCUGGUCUCCCCGCUUGAUUCAUGAAAGAGAGUUCUCCUUUACUCCCGAACCACUAAUAUAGGGAAUACAAUGCAAAAGAGAAAUCCUCAUCGAACCUAUGAUGCUUCCCGCUUCUACUUGGUGUGGGAAUCCACUUCUCAUUCCCCGAAAAGGUCAAUCUGGUCCUCUCUUCGGCAACUGAGUGAGACUUCUUCCCCGCUUAGAGUACGCAAGACUAAGCUAACUUCAACGACUGCCCGGUGGCCCGGUCGGUGGUCUGAGAGCUGAUCGAUGGAUGGAUUCGGAUUCGCCCUUCUUUCCUGAACUCAUUGCCGGUCUUUUGGUGUAGAAGUUUCUUUCAAAUAGAGCGUAAGGCCUGAAAGGUUCUGCAUUUCUUUGACUUUCUUAUGUCUUCCCCUCUUUCGACCCCUUAAAAGCCUUGAUAUUAGCCUUGGCAAAUAGCAGCCUCCACAGGAAGAAGAAUCCGCAUCUUCCGCUUCCCGCCUCAAAAUCAAGCGGAAAUCUUCAACAAGAUCCAGUCCAUCAAAGAAAGGUCCAGGGUCCGGAGUCCGCAGUGCCAAAGAAAGGUCCAGGUGAUUUAUCCGUAGGACCAUCCGUAAUUAACCGAAGUAGGACUAUCCAUUAGAAGCAGGAUUCUUAUCCGUAGUCCGGAGUCCUACGUCCGCAGGAUUUAUCCGUAGGACCAUCCAUAUGGAAGGAAGUAGGACUGGAAGAUUUCUCAAGAAUAUUGAGAAGAAAAAGAGAUGAAAAAGAAGAUUGAAUGAAUUAUCCCUUUCUUGCCUCCGCCGCCGUCGCACGAACCAUUUCUGAUGGCCGCGUCUAGGUGGAUUGUGGUGCUACCAUUUCUUUAGGAUACCCUUCGGCUUCAGUCAAAACUCUUCCCCCUUUGUUUUUAUAGAAAUUGAGUUUGAAAGAGAAAGAUCUCAUAGUAUGGAAUUCACUUUCUUGCUUGAGUGGAGUUAUUUAUUAUAGAAAAAUCCUUAAAGGAAGGACAAUCGAUCGCACUUGGCGCAGAACCACCUAAGGGUGGCUCUUUACUCCCUCUUUACUUGCUUCUGAUUUUUCUUUCAUCCAUCUUCAUCCCCUUUUCAUCCAAAAAAAUAGGCGAAGAUUCAGUCUGCUCCAGAAAGAAAAGAGAAGCCGGCAGGUCCUUUCCGCUUGAUCGCUAACGAAAGGGCAAAGCCUUGCCGCCCCUCGUGCAGCAUAUGAGCGGAUCUUCACGAAAACCGGCUCUAUUGGCGGAACAAAGAAAGCUCACUCUGCCAUGAGAACAAAGAAAGCCACACUAUCUCCUUGCAGCUUUGCCCGCCGCCCUUCUAUAUAUUCUUUGCGCCUAUCUUCGCCUAUUUUUUGGUCCGCUCGCCCCGGUCCUUAGUGUCGUUGACAAAGGGGAGGAGCCCCCCUCUUGUUGAUAGAGAGCUUACUGCCCCGCCCUUUAUAGUCGCGACUAUUGUCAUGGAAAAAGACUUUUUUGUCAAAGAAGCAUGCUUCAGCCUAUAGCCUAGCAUAAUAAAGGCAGUCGAGCUCCGUCUAAACUCAAUGUUGGGUAAAGGCCUGUACUCUCUCUUCUGUAGAUACGCUAUCCCUUCUGGCUAUGGUAUGGGGGAAGGGAAGUGAGAUCUACCGAUUGAUUUCAUAUUCAAUGAGCGGCCGUACUAUGAUCGUUCGGGAGACCUGGCCCAUGAAAAUCAAAAUAGAAGGAGCACCCAUGGAUGCACUCCUUCCCUUCCGUACACUCGAUCGCUUUAUGUUGAGGAAUCAGCUUAUGUAUCUAGCUUGACUCCCCCGUUUCACUCCUUCCCUUCUUUAAGGCCUUUCACUCCUAAACCUACUCAAACUCCCAGAAAGAGAAAGCCUAUGGCCGAAACCGAGAUCUCUUUUUCCAAGUCAAUCAAGAAAUCGGCCAAUCUCGCCCAUGGAAUGGAUGAGUUCGCAAGGAAAGGACGACCUUAACUUAACGGAAAGAUCUAAGACUCCUCUCUCUCGCCUUUCUCCUCUAAACUAAUAAGAAGAGCAGCUAAUCAGAGAAGACCGCGUAGUGGGUCUUUCUCUUGCACGACUGACUUUGUCUUUUAUAUAAAUACCCUGACCGCCCCGUGGGAGCCGGAGCCUUUUAUGAAGUAUUUAUUAGGUUCACGCUAAGAAAAAGCCUAGGAGAACUCUGAAGAAAGGGAAAGAACUCAAGCUAGGGUAGGGUCAGUCACAAUGCCCCGUCAACCUGUCCCCCCAACUCUGCCUUUAGCUAGACAUUGACCGCGUAGUGGUUCAUUUACCUUCUGCCCCCUGAUACUUCUCUCUUUCUUUUGUCAAAGUCGACCGAGAAAAGGAAGGGGACGCCGUACCAUGAGAUCGAGUUGGGUUAGCCCGAUCGACUACUAACUUCUGAGCCUUGCCUUUCUUGAAUAGCUUCUCCCCUCUAAGGAGUGAUGCUACGGUAGAAUCUCCCAUUCCUAAUGCGCCAGCCCUCGGGCAUGAAGUUAGAUUACUAGGCCCAUAGAGUGGUCCCUGGAAUUGCUUGACUUCUGCCUAUCAUUACUUGAAUUGUGGCACACGAGUGACGGAUUUGACAGGUUUAGCAUUGCCCAUAGCUUGAGGCCCGUCCCAUUCUGUUUGAGAAUUCCCCAUUCGCCGAUCCUGAGUUUGCGGGUUUAUGAUUGGAACGUCAAAUCUCACUUCUAGGGAUAGGCAUUUCAUUCAUCUUCUUUCUUUCGCUUGUUCAUAUCAACUUAUUCAUUCUUAGCGAAAGCAACUUUUACGCCGACUCAGAACCUACUAAACUAAACUCGACAGGAAGAAGACAAGACAACUCCUUUACCGGAGGCAUCCUUAGUGGUCCAGUCUAAGCCCACGGAGCGGGAAGAACUGGAUCAAAGUCUAAUCUUUCUCUGGGUUAAUAUGGAUAGUCAUCUGGACCCCUUAUAAUUGGGGGCCAUAGAUCUUUGCUCCUCGCUCUUUGCGCCUCUCUCAAAGGCAAUAUUCUUUGCACCUCCCCUCUGAAGUUCAGUCUCGUGUCAUGAAUUCUGAGUCUUCGUUCUCGCCCUUAUCAAUGAUCUUUGAGCCUUGUUCAUUGAUCCUUAUUGAGAAUGAAUUUCAGAUCUCGGAGUUCGAUCGAUCGGUAUGCGAAUGAGAAAGAUCUCUUCCCCAAGGCCGCACUCUGGAUUGUAAUAUGGUCAGGUAAUUUCCCUAUGAGUGGAUACAGUACGAGCCUAAUGCUCUUCCUUCGGGCGAGUGUCCUUUGGUCGCUCUUCUCGCUAUUCUAGCUCUUUCAGUGCUUUCAUUCCUUCUUUUCAUGCCCCGAAAAAAUGGACCUUCAAUCCCGGGUUGAUGCUUUGAACGUCAAUCCUGAGGGGAUGGGUUUUGGAGUUUCAUCCCAAGAAUCGAAUCAUGCCAUUCCGGGUUUAUGCUUUGAACGUCAAAUAAGUAGAAAAGGAGAAGCGAGCCUCAACUCUAUAAAAAGUCCCACCGGAACAGCACGCAGGUGGUCUAUCCUUCUCAAGCAAGUGGUCUCGAUCUCUCAGCAGAAUUCCUCAACCUCAAAGGCAUAGCGCUCGCUUGCUUUCAAGAGCUUCCUUUCGUACUUAAGAAAAGAGGGGGAAGGAGCUCAAGACGCCCCGAAGUACACUAAGAAGAAAAAGGUGUCAAAAGCUCAUAUUUGGGGAACUGCCCUUUCGUCCUCCCGUUCUGGAACAUCUGAUUACUGAACCACUUUCUCAUGGCACAGAUGUAUUUGGUUCUCAUAUUCAUUCAGCCUUGCGCGCACUCAUUCAGAAGAAGGAAGACGACCGCCUUUCCCGAGUCUUCGGGGCAGGGGCUGUAUUGGUAUGAUAAGUUGACGAGCGACGACUUUACGACCGACGACUUACUUAAGCAACUCCACGGGUUCGGAGCCGGAAGCGAAGCCUGAAUUCAUGAUCCACGCGUAAAGUACAGCUCUAAAAGGAGUGGAAGAGCUCGACAGAGAAGACGAAGGGAAGGAGCUUCUUGGCCGGAGGUAACUAAGAUGACGACCUGAUUUACCCUCCUUGGUCUUGCUUGCAUACCGCUUUUUCAGUCUUUGAGUACGCUAGAUCUCUUUGCCAAGGCUUAUAGCGAGCCUUAUCACGAGUAGGAAAGUCCAAAAAGAAAGAAUCUCAUCUCAAUAUCCUUUGAGCCGGAGUUAGGCGCAUAAUAUGGAUUUCUCAAUCUUCAAAGAGCCUUGUUCAUUGAUUUCAUGCUCCUCAAAUUCCCUAAUGGAUAGUCCUUCGGACCUGUCUUAUGGCGCCUCCGGACUAUUCAAUCUAUUACUUUGGAGAUCUUUCUCUUUCUGAUCUCUCUUUCGCUUUCGUAGGGAUAAGAAUUCUCUCUUGGAAGCAUAACAUCAAUAGGAAUCAGUCUCGCUUUCAGGUAGGGAUAGGAAGAGUGAGUUUGAGCUAUUCUUUCAUGAGAUCCUUCGUAACUAGGCCCAGGAGAGGUGGAAAUCGUAGGAUUAUUCGUUAUUCCGCUUGGCUUGACCGAGUCUCUAUUCCCCAUCUUUGAGUAAGGAAAAGAGUCAGGAAAAUCCGUGAUAAGCCAGGCUUUUAGGUUAAGUCAUCAGAAAAAGAAUAAAAAGGGAUAGGAAUGAGUAACUUCAAGAUACUUCCUCUUUCUCUAAGUAAGGACCUCUAAGAAAAAAGCCUAGGGAGAGGAGUCAGAAGCUUCUUUCCCGCUCCGUGGGUCUGACUUAGUUAGUUAGGGAGUCAGUCCCAGUUUCAUAGGUUGAAUGAGUAACUUCAUGAGAGUAGGAAGAAGAAUCCACUUUCAUGGGAAUCUCUCUCUCUCUUGAGUAAGCAUGAGAUGUUGCGAAUGCUACAGAGGUUAGAGUCAGAACAAUAGGAAGCGCGAACGGGUGAUUAGAAGGAUCGGAAUAAAGGCCGGCCAAGCAACCCCGGGGGUAGGAAUAGUUCUCAAAGAGUCAGACUGCAUGAGCAUGAGAAGGAUAGUUAUUCGGAGCAGCUCUCCUAAAUCAAGAAUGCUCAAUAGGAGGAUUUAGUCCAGGGGUCAGGAUCUACGCGAAGGGUCAAAAUAAGAGGAAGAAAGAGAAAAUAGUUAUGACUUUCUUAUCUACUUAUAUUAUAUCUUGUCACUAUCGGAUUAUUUCUUUCUUAGUUUCAUUCUCUCUUUCAUUCAAAGAGAAUCAUACUACUUAUGAAAAGCUGAUGAACCACAGAGUUUCCUCAAAGAAAAGGAAAGCCUACCGUAUUAGCGGCUCUUUUCUUUAUUUGUUGUUCUGAAUAUCCUCUUCUUAGGAAGGUGCGAAAGCCACUCGACUGAGUUCUAUCAGGCUGGAUUCAUGAGAAGCUAUUUUAUGACUAUGAAAACGAGAAAAAGAGAAGAGCAGAAGAGCUUGAUAAACCCCUUUUCAUAUGAUAAUAUCUUAUUCAUUCGCUGGUGGUAGGCUUUCUCUCUUUAUUUUGAGCACUCCCGCAGCUUUCUCUUGAAGAUAUAAUCUGAAUCUAGAAUAAUUCAGUAAAGACUUCGUAAAAUAAGUGGAAGGCAAUAUUCUUUGCGCCUCCGGAACCGCGUAGUGGGUAAAGCCUGAUCCUUCCCCUCUUGGGUUAGCAUCCUAACUAAUAAAUAAGGGUGGAGGUCCUUGCUUUUCUUGUUGCCUCACUCAGCAGCCUCAUCUCUGAAAGAGAAUUCCAAAAAAAAAGGUCCAGGCGCAAUAAGACAGGUCCGAAGGACUAUCCAUUAGGGGAUUUCGUAGAUCCAUUGAAUUUCAGAGUAGUUGAUUUUGACGUAGUUUUUUUCUCAUAAGAAAGCCUUCUAAGAAGACGUAGUAGUCAGAAAGAGAAAGCCUAGGUUUCGGAAUCAGUCUAUCCUUUAGACCUACCUGGCACCAAAGACCUCUGAAAGUAGCUGGGCUGUCGCUGGGGAAGGAGCUUAUCUUCAGUCAUAAGUAGUCCUUAGUUUCUUGAAUGCCUUUCCGGUCGAGCCUAACCUAAAAAAGACUUCAUGCUCCGGCGCGAUAGCGAAAGGACUUUACUUACAGGAGUGCAAGGAGCAAAGAUCGUGGCCCACGUAGCGGUGCCAUAAGACAGGUCCGAAGGACUAUCCAUUUGAGUUGCGUGAGUUGCCCCACGUAGCGGUGCCAUAAGACAGGGAUAUUCUUUGAGAGAAAGGUAGGUAGAGAAAGAUCAGUUCGCCGUCCCUGUACUUCAUUCAAUAAGGCUCUUUCAUUAUCUCUUUCGGUAUUCAUUCAUAACCAACCCGACCGGAAAGGGGGAAGACAAGCUAGGGCAUUAUCUAAGAUAAGAAGGAAGAGGAUCAAAGUAGCGAGACCAGUCCUCCGGACGGGAAGAAGAAGAUCGACUUAAGUGGGAAGCCUCAUCGGUUGAAGUAGGGUCAGAUCGGUAGCAUCGAGAGCCAGAAAAAAUAGCAUGAACAGACCUAGAGGAAGUCCAAGAUUCAAGCAAGGGAAGAUACUGAGUUGGAUCCGUGGAGGGAUCGGAUAGGAGCCGUUUAGGACGCCUUUCAUGAGAUCUUGCGGAUCUUCUUUCAUGAGUUGCGGAACCUGGAGUAAAGAAAAGAGGUCUUGACUCAUAGGAAGUAGUCCCACAUAGGAAGAGGCGCGUAUUCUCAGUUGAGGCAGCGGAAUCAGAGGCCGUAGCCCUUGCUGCUUAGUCAAAAAGGUAGCAUUCUCUUUUUCAUCCCCGUCUCAGAAGCUUUACUGAGUUGGAGAGUAAGCUGCCUGCCUGGCCUGCUUCGAUCAGUUUCAUAGUCAGAAGAAAGUAUCUCCAGGAGUUUGAGUGGAAUCUUUGCUAUUCAAAUCAGUUCGCAAUCUAAUCGAUAAUUCUUUGAGCCCUCCGUUAGGCGCAAAGAAUUUGCGAAGGACCAUCAAAGAAAGGUCCAGGGUCCUACGUCCGGAGUCCGCAGGGCCAAAGAAAGGUCCAGGGUCCGGAGUCCGCAGGGCCAAAGAAAGGUCCAGGUGAUUUAUCCGUAGGACCAUCCGUAAUUAACCGAAGUAGGACUAUCCAUAUGGAAGUAGGACCAUCCGUAAUUAACCGAAGUAGGACUAUCCAUAUGGAAAGAAGGGUCCAGGUUUCAUAAGACUCCUUCGGAGCGGUCUUAAUACUCCUAACGGAGGGGAGGCGCAAAUCGAAGUUUUGAUGCAUAAGGAAAAGAAGAAGACCGACUAAACCGUAGGCAAGGAAGGAAAGCCUAUCCCCUCCUCCUACGUCCCUCAAUCAUUGAUUGUAAUAGUCUUUCUUCAUUGAUUGCGCUCCGUAGUCAAAUUCUUUCUUUGUAUAUUCCGUCGUCCGCAAAUUCUUUGCUCCUCAAAUUCUUUGAGCCUCUUGACUAUUCAACCUAUUACUUGGAGUUUUCUACCUUUCAAACUUCUUCUUUCUCUCUUCUUUGUGCCGUAGGUUUUUUUUAAUAGUCUUGUAAAUCAUCAAGACCUACGUCCUUCUACGCGGCACUAUAUAAGACUCUGUAGGAGAAGUACUUUUGAGCUCUUUCUGACUUUUCUUUCUUCAGUAUUUAUUAGGUUCUUCUUUCGAAGAGGAAGAUUCAGAGAGAAAGCAAGAACGAACUACCGAUAUGAGGAGUUCUUCUAUUAUGUAAUUUCUCAAUUCUGGGAAUCUUUCUUUUCGAAUAAAUUGAUCGAAGGGCGCUAUCACUCUUUUAGUUAACGAGUGGGUUGGGUAGGCAGACCACUAACCUAAAUCAACCUCGGACUCGUCCGCUCCGUCUUCCCCUUUCUUUCUGCUUCUGCCUCAGCUGAAAGAGGUACUUCUUCCCCAGCCCCGCUCGAUACUGACUUUUCCCUUGCUUCCGCCGGCCCUACUGACUAUUGAAGUGACUCAUAUAGCAUGGAAAGGGAUAAUGGAAGAGCCGCAAUAUUCUUUGCGCCUCUUGUUGGAACUCAUGAAAGAUCCCCUGUUCAUUGACUUUCUUCCGAAACCCUUCGCUAACUCUGCCUCCCCAACUGAACUGAGGCUUCAGCCGACGACCCUACUAAUAAUCUGACUUAUUCAACCCACUACGCCUGCCCUAUCUUUUAUGGUCUUAUAAUUCCACUAAAUCCUAUCUUUUCCGCAAUAUUCUUUGCACCUUUCUUUCGGAGUAGCUCCAGCGUAGCGUAGCGGUUAAAGCUCAAAUUGCAUUGAGCCUGUAUUUAUCCCUCUGUUAGGCGCAAAGAAUUUGCGAAGGACUAUCCAUAUUAACCUGUGACGCAUCUGGACCCCUUAUAAUUGGGCCAUAGAUCUUUGCACCUUGCCUCCAGGAAAAAGAAAGCAGGAACAUAAAAGGAAAGAAAGCCUAGCCUGAAUGAACAAGGGGGGUUCUUUUCCAACCUCAAUGAGUGAGGAAAGACUCAUAGCCACGUUUUGGAGGGCCUUACAAGUAAGGUUUUGUACACAGAACCUAAUCCAAAACCCAGAAAUUUGGUACAAUAGCCUUACCGUGAAUAGACAUUAUAAUGUCCAUUUGGAAAAACAAGAAAAUCAAGAGUUUGCUUUGGCUUUCGAGAAAGACCAAAAAGAGGGGUUGGAUCCCAUUAUGAGGAAGAAAUCUUUCUUCGUAGCUCUUAGAAAGAAAGAGCAGCGGAAGCAUCCCGCUCCGUGGGUUCUUCCUAAAUUACCAACGGUUACAGAAGCGGGGAUGAAUCUACUCAACUUUGCAAUAAUACCCAUUCCGAGGAUAGAAAGCCCUCCCCAACGGCGGGGAGAGCAUGAACAAGAAAAUGGGAAUCUUCUUAUAUCCAGGGAAGAGGGAAAACUGAAUAACUAUGAUUAUGCGCUAUGGCCCCUAGUAUGAAAAACCUUCCAUUAUACAAUGGACUAUAAGGAUACUUUGAAAUAAUGAGAAAUAGAAGCUGUGCCAAGAAGAGGCGCUUUCAGCACUCUUGAGAAGAGGGAAUACUACAACAGGGGACGAGGGACCGUUCCGGAUACUCUAAAGGGACUCCAAGCAGCAUUAUUAGUUGUCUGAGCAAUAUUCUUUGCUCCUAACGUGAAUAUGGAUAGUCCUCUUAUAAAAAAGGCCUACUUUUAUGGGGUUCGGUUCUGACAAUUCAUUAGGGGUUCGCGGAGGAGUUCUUCCUCUGGAUUCUCGGAAAGUCUCAUUAGGAAAUUGAAUACCAUCAGGGGAUCCCAUACAAAGAGCCUAUUCUUAGCCGGGAGCGGAUAAAAAGAAGACGAUGAUGAAGGAUUUUCUGAAUCUUUGCUUGAGAGGACUAAAAACGUAUUCGCCGAGGAAUCGCUAUAAGAACCGAGUUGACUUUUUAGUGGUCUUUAAAAGAGGAGUUUCCCAGAAAGGAUGAUUUUUUCAUAGAAAGAGAGAGCGGAUUCGCUAGCUCAUACAUCGGGAGAAUCUCAGAGGACUGACUAGGAUUGGGAAUAGACUAAGAAAGAAGUUCAUAAAUCAAUGAACUAGCAAAAUUGUAGCCCUUGUUCAUUGACUACUCCCCUACAAAAAAGAAUGUGAAAAUGACCUCCAACUACUUAUUAAGAGAGAGAUCUGAAAGAGAAAGCCUAGGGGUUCGGUUUGAACGUCAAAUAAGAGAAGAGUGAAUUUGAAGAUUCUUGAUUUUGUUGGGGAGGCAGAAAGGUAAAGGUAAGAGAGAGAGUCCACUCGACCUUCUUUAGAUCUUGCGGAAGAAGCCCUUGUUCAUUGAGGCGGUAGCAUUCUAUCUUUCAGAGUCAUCCCUCUCUCUUUCAUGGGAAUCUCUCUCUCUUGACUAAGAGUCAGUGGCCGUAAGGCAAGAAUCCGCACUCUUCUUGAAGUCAGCUAUCCGGUUAGCGGCAGGUUAUCAAUCAGUAGCUCGAGGAUAGGAAGAAAGUAGCGAGAGAGGGCAAAGCCGGACCAUGAAAGGUAUCGAUAGUCGGACUUAUUUAUGGAACAUAGACCACUACACUAGGCUUGAUCUUCUUCAAAGCACUCCCAACUUUUCCCUAGGCUGACCUCUUUUAUCCACAGGUUAAUAUGUCCUUAUCAAUGAGACGGGUACUGGUACUUCCUUUUCCCCUGCCUUACCUUCUACCCUACUUCGGAAAGAUCUCAUUCCCUUGAAGCAGCAAGGGCCCUUUCUGCCUCCCGUUCUUUAAGUGGGGGGGUGGAGGGGAGGAGUAUUAUCCCCUCGGUUCGGAGAAGCCUUUUUGGAUCGAAAAAGAAAGGUCCAGGUGCUUUGAAUAGGAAUCACUCAUAUUGCAUUGAGCCUUAAGAGUCUAGUCAAUAUUGAACCUUCGGACUGGUCUCGCUGACUUACUCAGUAGUCGGAAAGUGAAAGUGGAAUUCUCAUCAGUCCAAAAAAUCGCCCUAUACAUGAAUUUCAGGCGGAAGGUGCCAUACAUAAGACAGGGAUAUUCUUGGACUGGGAGCUCAGCUUGACUGGGUGGCUGGCAGAACCAGUCUUCGGACCUAGACCAUGAACUGGAGUAUGAAUCAAAGAUCAUGUGGAAUCCUUCGAGCCAAGCCAAGCCUAGUUAUUCUUGCUGUCGGGCUCCGCCCCUUAUACUUAUGACCCUAGCCGUCACGGAUCUGCUUUAACGGAUUGGUUUACGCCUAGACGGAGUUCAAUCAGCGGAUAAGACAGAGGAAGAGCGGAUCAGCCGAUCUUGCUGUUUUUACCGCGUAGUGGGUUACGGAUCAAGUAGUUCAAUACAGGAGGUGGUCCUCCGAAAUCAAGGCUCAAAUCAAGGCUCAAAGAAGAUUGAGAGUUUACAAAUCCUCCGAAAGCAAGGUGCAAAGAUCUAUGGCCCCAAUUAUAAGGGGUCCAGAUGACUAUCCACUAGGGAAUAUUGCGAGGCGAAGGACUUCUUUAUCAAGCUUGUCUGAACAAAGGCUUUCUGCUCGAGCCGCUUCUUUGCUGAAGUUUCCUACGGAGCUUUUGGAAUAAGACUGACUAAAAAGGAGAAGUCCUUCGGAGCUCUUUCAUUCUCUCUUUGUUUACAAGGUAUCGGAAUGAAAUCGAGACCGCCCACGGAGCGGGAGAGGAAAAGGAAACCCCAGCGACCAAGCACUUCCGCUCCCAGGAGACCGAAGAACCGCCAAGUUGUCGAGGACACGUCUGAGGAGGAGGCGGGCGCCGAUUUACCACCCUACCCACUAAUGGACUAUGAGGGGGCAGGCGAAGGGGAACCUACCGAGAACCCGAACCGCUUGACUGACUGGCCCCUUCAUACUCAAUUGAAUUAGGGUCGAGGAUGGAUGAAAGCCAAUCAUAAGUGCAAAUCGCGCAAGCGAAGCCGGGAAAGGGACCGCUGCGCAAGGACUAGGACUCGUGUCCGAGGAGUUUUGAGCGUGAGCUACCACUCAUGCAGCGGCAAAGACCCGCAACUCUCUCAGAGGAAGAGGCCACCAACCGCCCGAUGUAGCAAACCCUCCCUUUACUCAAUGGAUAGCGCUUAUCCUCUUUCAAGAGAAAAAAGAAGAAAUGAGGGGACGUUCUGAUUGCCAUGAAUGCUGCGCCUUCGAGGACAUGUACAAGAAGGUCUUUGCCGAUUCCUAGAAAGAUGGUGCACCUCUCCGUAUAGGGGCCCGUGGAGACUUUGACCGAAUUCAUAGGGAGAAAUGAAUAGACAUUUUGAUUGACCACUUUUUUCGUGAGCUAUGUGCUGACUGGAUGCGUACUCGCGUGAUUGAUCGAUGGACGGGGGAAUUGCGUGAAUGAGGAGACCGGCUUAACGUACGUGUGACCCGCCCGCUAGGGAAACUGGCUACUGGAUUCGUGCCCAGCGCACCUUACCGUAAGUGGUCUUGGGAAGCUUCAGUUCUCUAGUUGGAUUCUUUCUUCUUCUUUCUUUUAUUAGAACUUGGAUACUGCUUUGGAGGCGCCCGCUUUCUUUCUCUCUGGAGACUCCGCUUUCGCUCGGGUAGGCUGACGUAUACUUCUUUAAAGAAAUUAGCUCUUGUUUCCUGACUGAACUUUUCUAUUCGCUUGUUUGCUUCCUCGCUAAUCCGCCGCUCCCUUCCAGGAGCUACACCCCAUACAUCCUAUUCAGAAAACCCGGGAGCCGGUAGCAGCUACCGGCCAUUAACCAGAGGGGUUGGAAAGAAUAUUGACGAAAAGAAGAAUGAACUCAUUAACGAGAAUUCUUCUUGAAUAACCUGGAGUGAAAUAAAGAAUAGACCUCUCAGUAUCCGGAACACAAACUAGAAGUUCUCAAUGUGAAUUUCUUUGACCUAGAUUUUUCUAAUGGACCAGUUGCAAUUUCCCGGCUUUUUUGCUUCUAAAUAGGACUUUUUCGACUUUUCUUAUCUAACGAAAAUAGAUCAAUUUUGACUGAUUUUUUGUCUUUUCUUGCUACUUUAUAGGCCCAAAACCUAGCAAAAUCAUGGAAUUCACUCCGUCUUCAUUAAGCAAAGAUGUCUGAAAUCUAGCACAAAGAUGUCUGAAAUCUAGCAGAUUCAUAAUUCUUCUUGAAUUCGAGUUAUGAAAUCCUAAUUAUUCUUUCAUUAUCGUUAAUGAGCUUCUUUUCUUUUCGUCAAUAUUCUAUAUUCUUUUCACCUAUUCAUAUUUCAUUGAUCCUAACCUUCGUCAUCAAAUCCCCUAAUGGAUAGUCCUUCGGACCUGUCUUUGCGCAUCUUUUCUUUUCUUUAUUUUGGAGCGGUCCGAAGCCUUAAUUUGAUCGACUCCUUUUUUAUGCUGCGUAGGAGGACGGGUUCCCCAAGAAUAUCCCUGUCUGUCUUAUGGCGCGACUUCGGACGGAUAAAGAAAUUCUAAGAGAGCUUUGACGUGACGAGUGGAUGCCUAGUUUGAAAGUCUUGCCACUUGAGGGCUUCCACCCACGCUUCUGGCUGACUGUAAUAAGGGCUAAAGAAGGAUGAAACAAGGGAUAUGAAUGGAUGGUCUUUCCUCUCAAUCGAGUGGUGUAUUUACUAGCUUGAAGAUCAAGAGGUUUUUUCCGUAAAGAAAAGAUUUGGAAGAUUCGGCCAGUUCCGGGCGUAGUAGAAGUACCGCGUAGUGGGCAAGGUAGAUAAAGAGAGGUUUGCAUAUGUUUCAGACAAGGGUUUCGUACAAAUACCUUCCCGUCUUACCGAGACCAAGUAGCUAUCCAGGAGCCAAACUCCAAAUGAGAUGAGGUGCAGGAGUUCAGGAUCGGAAGCCUCUCACUGAAAUAGUAAGCGAAGCGCCCAAUUCAAGGUCUGGAGGUGUGCAUAGGUUGGGCUUUCUAGGUAAUGCGCUAUCAGGCGAAUGGGCGUGUCUGAACGAGUGGGGAAUUUUUCUCUUUCCCUCUACAAAGAAGGUCAAAUAGGUGCCAUGGGCCAUGAAAUAUGAGAAUCCCGGCUUCACGGGCGCGUGCGUAGGCAAACCCACUCUUUGAUCGGAAGAAAGUCAAGAAUUAGGCGAGACCAGUCCAUAAAAAAAGAAAGCUCCAGAUGAGUUUCAUUGAGUGCUCAUAUAAUUUUCUCGAUUCACUAUUUGAUUUUGAUUCAAGGACCCACCUCACAAAGGGAGUUGGUCAUAGGGGAGGCACACAUAGGAUCGGCGGUUCGGGUUAGGGACGGGUCGAGGUAAGAGGAAGCGUCUGCUUGACUGAGGGAGGUCUUCUUCGAUCAGCGCUGGUAAGAUGAGAUUCAGGCCAAAGAAGGCGAUUGAAAUCCAAGGAUGAAGAGAAAGAAAUCAGCCCCGAUAGAGGCUCAAGAGAUCUCAUUCAAGGCCCAUACUCAUUCAAUUCAGGCAAAGCCUCAACCUAGCCUUGUUCAUUGACUUUUCUUAAGGGGCCUUUGUCCUCGUCGGCUAUUCAUUAUAGGAUUGAUUAGAAAAGCGUGAGGCUAGUGAAAGCGAUCCUAGUCUCGACUUGGUCCCUCUCCAAACAUCCAAAAAAACAAAUAAACUACUCGUAGUCUUGGUUGGUUGUUUUCUUCCUCUUUAUUCUGAAUUCUGAUAAUUCCCUCUCGAGCCCAGUCCGCUUCCCCGUACUCUUAUUAAGAGAAUGAAGCAGACUCAAGGCCCCUUAAGAGAAUGAAGCAGACUCAAGGCCCCUCCUUCACAGGGGUUUUAGGGAAUAUCGCACUAGUUAUCUAGUGCGGGCAGGUGAGAUCUUUUCCAGUAGCCCACCACCAGGUCAUAUCUCUUUUUGUCUGCCUUUGUGCGAAAGGAAGGAGAAAUUCAGGUUUCGGCUUAUGGGACGGGUCAUAGACCUGAAAUUCUAAGAAAAUCGAAGGUAAAAGGUAAAAGCACUUGGAUUGAUUCUCCUCGCUUAUCAUCCAUGGGCAAGAUUGGCCUAUUUCCUUAUUUAUUUACUUGGAAAAAGAUUCAUCGUCUUUCGACCAUAGGCUUUCUCUUUCUGGGAGUUUUGAGGCCGACGGCCUGGGAGAGAUAUGGGAGAGCAUACCGAUCUCACAAGAAGAGCAAGGGAAUCAGCAAAUGGAAGAAAGAAGACUGACCACUCAAUCUGGUGGAGCAAAUUCCUAUCCUGUGGGUCCUACCGCAUAGUAAUUGAAUACUCUUUCAUUUCGGACUGCGCGUAGUUAGGAUAAAAGAGGUCUGGAGGACCCGUCCGGAGGACUCUGAUAUUCCACUUAUUUGACGAAGUUCAGUUAUUCACACACGGAUACCUGAAUUUCAUUCCUAUGAAAGGGCUUUCCCCACGUAGCGGUUUCGGGUGAGUCGGGUCUUUGACGGCUCCCACGUAGCGGUUUGAAGCCUUGUCUUCACAUCUUCUUUGGGACAUGGACAUUUGGAGGUUUCUUAUCUUUCUAAUUCUCCUCGAGGAAGGCCUUGAAUAAAGAAAAUAAUCCACAAACCAGAAAGUUCAUUCCACACCACUAUAUGCUAGGAUACGGCUUGCCUUUUUGGAUUUAGACUUUCCCAAGUUAGUAUGUUUUCGACCAGAGUUUUUCUCUGAGGAAUGGCAUGGGAUUUCUUUUGGCCAGCGGUAAGAUUGGAAAAGAAUCCUUCUCAAUCUCUUCGACAUAAAUCCUUCUUAUACGAAAUUCUUCAUUUUGCUAAAACUGAGAAAAGUUAUUAAAACUAAUGAGGUACGGAUUCUCCGACUUUUGGUACGGAUUCUCCGACAUUUCCCUCUAUAUGGAGGCUACGCCCACUAUUUGGGGGGAUUCGGAGGCUUCGCCCUCUGUAUUUCUUUCUACUCUUCUGUUUUUCCUAGCUCUUUCCUUGAAGUUCAACUCGCAGUUCAUAAUGAAGCUUGCUCGGCUUCCUUCGCUUCCUUCCUAGAUCUCCUUACAUCACUCUCUCAUAAAAUCAAAACAACAAAUUGAAAACAAGAAAGAAAUUAGCUAGGAUUCCGCCUCGCAAACUCGGCUCCCUUCGCUUCCUUCCUAGAUUACAUAUUUACAACUAAAUUCAGAUUGAAAACAACAAAUCACUUUCUUGAAGAAUUAAAGCAAGAAGACAACUUAGAUUCAAUCUCUUAACAAAGAAUAUCGUUAUUGAUUGAUUCAAAGGAUAGACAAGCAAUUCAAGUCAUCGUGGAUAAAGGGCAUCAAUUCUAGCUAGGUUUCGUGAGCUCAUUCUCUUCUAUGAGUGGCUGGCAGAACCAGUCUUACCUUCUACACCACGAACUGGAGAUUUAUUCGCUAGUUCUGGUAAGCUGACCAAGCGACGGUGGCUCCAUACCUCUUAUGGGAAUAAGGUAGGAAAAACUUCGAUGAAAGGUACAGGCUACGCCUUCCCUUUUUCGAGUUUUUCUCUUUGGUGAAGGGGGAAAGCCUGAUUUUUCAGUGCCUUCGGGGGUAUAUAUGCAUCUAUAUUUCUGAAGGUCAAAAGAGCCCAAGCCUUCGGGUCAGAACCCCUUUCAGAGACCCUACCUAGCCUCUAGCCUUGCGGAUAUGCCAUUUUCGGAGGAGACCAAGGCGCAAAGAAUAUUGCUCGAAAGAGGAUCCAUAAGACAGGGAUAUUGUAGGGAGAGAAGCGGAUAAGACAGAGGCAAAGAAUUUGUCAUUACGGAGUGAAAUCAGCGGAUAUUGCAUAAAGAAGCCGAAAAAAGCUCUUUUUACCUCAUUUGGCUCUAGGAUCAAAUCACACAAUUACAGAGGCAGGGAUCUUGUAAGCUUCUUCCCCGACAAAAACUAGGUUCUUAGACGGAUCUGGUUUAACGGAUUGGUUUACGCCGUCACGGAUAGACAUCUCUGUAUUCCCUUUUCAAGGUAUGUUUUCCGCACUUUGACGAGCCUAAACAUAUUCAUAAUUCAAUGCCUCGAGUCCUUUUCCUCGCUAAUAGGUCCGGCCUGUAGUCCGGCUUUUCCAUCUUUCAGGGAUAUCGAUCCGGCUGCCUCUAUAUAUUCUUUGCGCCUUCAUACUUUUCCUUUUUUGGGGGUAGGGGUAUAUUUUCUCAGCUCCUCUACGGGAGCUUCGGUUUUGCUAGAAGUCAGCCGAAGUUUCGGCUUUUCCUUUGGACUAGAUUGCUCGGAGUUACCAUUAAUUCAUAAUUAAUCAAAGAAAUAAUUAACUUGUUCUAUGACGAAAACGAUCAAAAAAUCGUGGACAAAGGGCAUCAAUUCUAGGACUUUUCCGUGAGCUCAGCUCGACUGGGUGGCCGCUAGAUCCGUCUAUUUUUCAUAUAUAUAUAGACCUGACUCUGACGGAGUUCAAUCUUUCAAAAAAGCAUAUAGGGACGGAAGUAGCUCGACCAUAGGAAGAGGGACGGAUCCACAGACAAUGCGAUAUAUACCAGGGUUACGCGUAGCUGAAAAACAGUGUCUCAAAUUUGUAUUUUCUUCGAUCUGCUUUUUUGAUUAAAGUACUAACUUUGGGAAAAGAGGAUUGGGAGUCAACUCUGACUAUUUUUCUUUCAAUGGAAGUAGUUACCAACAUAAGCCGAUAUUUGUUAAUAACCUUGUCUCGCUCUGAGAGCGGAGAAAGAGGAAGUCAAAAGGAGAUUUUCUUCCAAAAUCCGGUGGCAUUUCUCCGCAAUAUUCUUUGCGCCUUCUCCUCAUUCAUAUGGAUAGGACUGAGGCUCCAUAAGACAGGGAUAUUGUAAGCCGAAAAAAGCUCUUUUUACCGCGGCGUAGUGGGUUACGGAGUUCAAUCAGCGGAUAUUGCACAAGCCGAUCUUGCAAAAAUGACUGUUUUUGUUAGUCAUUACGGAGUUCAAGAAUAAAGAAGAGCUUCUUCCCCGACAAAAACUAGUACACUAGUAGCAGAUUCAAUAUUCUUUUCACAUCUGCUUCCUUUUAUUUUGUUGAUUGCGAGAACUUACUAUAACCACUAACUGAGGAGAGACUGAACGGAUCUGCUUUCUUUCUACGUUUUCCGCACUUUUACGAGCCCCAACAUAUAAAGACACUAAGCCCCUUCCUUGAGUCCCUUCCUUGUGAGUCCGGCUUUUCCAUUUAAGAGGUCCGGUUCUCGCUAACUAAUAGGUCCGGCCUGUAGUCCGGCUUUUCCAUUUAAUAGGUCCCUUUCUCGCUAACUAAUAGGUCCGGCUCACUAAUAGAUAGGUCCGGCCUGACGUCCGGCUUUUCCUCAGGGAUAUCGAUCCGGCUUUCAGGGACAGGGAUAUCGAUCCAUCCGGCUGCCUUUUUCGCCUUCAGACUUUUCCUUUUCUUUCGCAUCUAGACCCCCAUUGAGCCUUUUGGUUUUUGAGGAAAGGAUAGGGGUUUAUUUACUCAGCUCCUUGAAGGGAGCUUCGGUUUAGCUAGGAGUCAGCCUCGCAAACUCGGCUUUUCCUUUGGACUAGAUUGCUCGAAAGUUCUAUAACCACUAACCACUGAAAGGUGGCUUCGCCCUCCAUAUUAUUUGCUUACUGCCCCCCUUAUAUUUUCAGAACCGACUUCUUGAUGUUCUUGCUCGCGUAGCUCGCGCGCGCGUAUGUUAACGCUUUGUGUAUGCUCCCCACUCGCUCCCUUUUGGAGUGCGCUCGGGGAAGCUUCUACUAAGCGCAGGAUUCUCUUCCUUUAACAUUCUUUCUAUGUCUUACUAAAGUUAGCUACCCAUCUCCGUCAGGCUCCCCCCCGCAAAUUCUUUGCUCCUCCACCUCUUGACCCAAGCUUUGGCUCUGAACCAAGACCACCCAGGAACAAGCAAGAAGAAGAAGGAAGGAACUAACUAAUGAAACUAAUGAUUCGGUCAAGAACUAAUGAUUCAGUCGCUGCGCUCCACACAAGAAGAACUAACUAAUGAAAGAUCUGAACCAAGGGUAAAGUUAUCCAUCUCCGUCAGGCUCUCCCCCGCAAAUUCUUUGCUCCUCCACCAAGCUUCGCUCUUCACCAAGACUACCCCAAAUCCUACAACCCACCCAUCUUCCGAAGUCUGAAUAAUAUCCGUUCAGGGCAUCUCUGCCAUUAUCUCUUCCUUAUCUCUUCUCUUCCUCCUCCUUAGACUUUAUUACAGGGCUUCGCCCCUCACACUUAUCCUAUUUUAGCCUGCUUAAGACAGAAUGUAUACCUUUCUUUCCUGCUCUUAGCUCUUAGACUUUAUUACAUUACAGGGCUUCGCCCCUCACACUUAUCCUAUUUUAGCCUGAGCUAACUUCAUUUUCUUUUCUGAGCUAACUUCAUGUUGGUGGUGUUCUAACUCGGCUCGUCUUACUCACCUCGCAUCUAUGUUAACGCUUUGUGUAUGCUAGCCGCUCGCUCCCAAAGUACGCUCGGGCUAGCUUCUAGAAAGCGAAGAUUCUCCCUCUCAGGAGAUUAACCUGUGAAAUUCGUCUCUGAAAUUAAUAAAGAAAUCAUGUGAAAUUCAUCUGUUAAAAGAAAUCAUUAAGAAAGAAGUUCUAGUCGUGAAAUAGUUGAUUCAAACGAUGUGUGCCCGAAAGGCUUAUGCCUUGACUAGGGACAUCGUGGACAAAGGCGCCAUAAGACAGGGAUAUUCUUGGACUGGGAGCUCAGCUUGACGGAGUGGCUUACGCCUAGCCGUCACGGAUAGACAUCUCUGUAUUCCCCUUUCUUUCUACGUUUUCCGCACUUUUACGAGCCUCAACAUAUAAAGACAGGUAGCCCCUCGUCAACUCGGUAAAGCUGCUUCGCCCCUUCCUCGAGUCCUUUAAAGACACACUAAGCCCCUGCCUUGAGUCCUUUUCCUCCUUUCAGGGAUAUCGAUCCAGCUAACUAACUAACCUAACUAAUACUAAUCGGUCCGGCCUGACGUCCGGCUUUUCCUUCCAUCUUUCAGGGAUAUCGAUCCGGCUGGCUCUGGCUGCCUUGUUCUUUGUUCUUUAAGGGAUAUCGAUCCCUCUCCUUAUCAGUCGAGCCCUUGUUCUUCUUUUUUCGCCUUCAGACUUUGAUUUUUCUUUUUCUUCAUACUUUCUUUUGGUUUAGGGAUGGGGUAUACUUACUCAGCUCCUUGAAGGGAGCUUCGGUUGUUCUAGGUGUAGCAGAGCUUUUUUCAAGAUUGAACUAGGAAAGAAAGAACAAGUCUGUGUUAAGCAGGUGCAGGCAUUUCAAGAAUCAGAUCCCCUAUUUCUUUAUGGAUGUCAUUGACUCUUAGGCGAAGGACUCUUUCACUUGCUUGUUGGACGCGCGCGCUAGAACUCCUCCCUUGAAUAGGUCUUUUCAGUUCGUAUUCCCGAUACAAGGUCCUAAGACGCUGGCUAGCUCUCUAUAUUUCAGAGACUAAGCUCCGCCUUAGAGGUUUCCAUGGGGGUCGGGGUGGAGAUCAAGCAAGGGAUGCAAAGCAAUGAGACCGACCAGGAGCAUAUGGCCAGAGAAGAAGCUAGAACUCAGAAAGCAAGCCGCCGUAUCGGUGCAGCAGGGAUCCCACUAUUAGUUCCAUUAAUAAGUCCUUCGCUCAAUAGGGUAGUAGAGUCCUCCGGACGGAAUAUGGAUAAAAAUCAGUCAGCUAGACACUCUAUUUUAGGCGCAAUAUUGCGAAAAAGCCUUGAUGGAGAAGGAGCUGAACUUUGAAUUCCUUCUUUAUCAAGGGAUAGGCUCUUCUUUGCGCUCCUUAACACGUAGGAGGAGAUGUAGUGCCUCCAGUUUGCGCUCCCGUAGGUCUUGUCUUAUUCUCUUAUAUAAGCUUGCCUUCGCAUGUAGGAGUUUGCCCUUGGUUCUUGGUCUGCCUUGCCUACGGCGGUUCCUUGCCUCCCUCCGGUCUGCAGUCCUUCGUCUUCUUCGAUCAGCUCUUUCAAGCAGCUAUAUAGGAACUCUUCCCCAAUCCUACUUCGCAUUAGUACUACACAACCCCCUACGCCUUCCUUACUGUCGCGUAUCAGCUGUAAGAAUAGCUUCAGCUAGAGCAGAUAUCCCAGGAAAUGCAAAAUCUCCGAAUCGUCUCAUCCCUUACCCAGGAAGCCCCGCAUGCCUUCAGCUUCAAACCGGGCCUCAUCCUUGUUCAUUGAUUUCACCUGUUGAGCUACUGCAUUCCGAAACCGCUACGUGGGGGUCUGGGCUAGUUAGUCUAAUGAUCUGAGUUCUUGCCUUGAUCUCUUUUCACUUCUUCCCUUUCUUCCGAUCAUGUUAUGAAAGAUCUAUAGAGAGGACUUGCUCUUCGUAAUCCUGUAUUCCGAUCCUUUGUCUCUGGGAUAUCCCGAUUCAGGUCGAAUACCGCCUCAAUGAACAAGGGUCAAAGAAGAUUUCGAAGACGAGACUGGUCCGGAGGAUAGGCUUUCUUUUCCUUGGCCGACUACGCGGUAGAAAAGCCAACCAUGGCGAAGCGAAGGAAGUGCUCUGGAAAGGGCGGGCUGGGCGAACUCGGGAGUGGAAGAAGUUGAUGUCCCCGGGAGUCCGCCUGAGAUCUAGAUCUUUCUCUUUUUCUUGCUUGAGGUCUGAGAUCGGAUCCUUCAUUCAUUCGUGACUCGUGGCAUUGAACUUCCUUUUCUUAUAAUAAAUCACCUUCUUUCUACAGUGAAAGCUUAGCUUAGGCUGACGGCCUUGGGAAUGGUCAAGAGAUUAGAACCAACCGCGUAGUGGGCAGCCUUCCUCAUCACCCUAGAAGGAGCCCGGAUCCUGAAAGGGGGACCUAUGAUUCCGCUGACUCAGCAAGAAUUUGAGGUGGGGCGGAGACUGAAUUUUCCUCUCCUCUGGGACAGAAUUUCUCUUGACUUCUGAUUCCGCUCUUCUCUACGAGGAUCCCGUAAUAAUCAGACUGAUUCUUUCUCCUUCUGCCGAAGAAAUAGAGUCCCGUCAGUCCUUCCUCUUUGUCGAGUUUUGCGCUUUCUUUCCAAAAAGAGAAUGAAAUCACGUAUUUUCAGAGUUAGAAGAUGGGAAUCCAAGGAUUUCUCCUUCAAGGCCGACGGAAAGAGAUUGUACACGGAUCCUCCUGGUUUUCUUCCUGCGAGUCAUCCUAUUAUUUCUUCCUUUUUCUACUUCUUCCUAUAGAGGUUCCUAUUUCCCAACCAUGAAUAAAGACGGGGGAGGUCCCUUUCAAUCCCACCACUAAUAGACGAGACGAGGGUAGAUGGGUCGCCGGAUCAGUAUGAAGCAGCGGCCGGGUCAGAGUCAGGUUGCAUCCCUUUCAGGAAUGAGAAGGAUAGAGGAAGAGUAACAAGAAAAGCAAGUUCAAAUAAACUAAGAUUUUGGGCUAGUGAUGAAAAUAUUCAAGAUUCCACUAUUCGAAAGCCUAUCCUUUCUGAGAACCUUCUGACUUAUCUUCUUUUUUAGAACCGUCGAAGAACAUUUGCCAGAGGAGUUGAGUCUUCUUCUUCGCCUACCGCUAAUAGAAUAGCUGAGUCCGGGAAAUGCGUCCCCUUACUAAACUAAGAAAAUCAAGCUCAUAGUCCGGACGGGAUGAUCCAUCCGUAGGUGGUCUGCUAUUGCCUGCCCCUUUCCUUACUCAUUUAGGGCUUCCCCUUGCUUUUACAGAACUCUGAGAGUCACAUCUGCCACCUUCCUGGCCCAUUCAGGCUGGCUUUGAAAAGAGAUACUGAAGCGGGUCCAUCCUUGCAAUCAGCAUGGUCGUAUAGUUCAAGAUGUAGUGGCGUAGGCUUUGCGAGGCUCAUGGUUGAGCACAACCGCUUUUUUCUAGAACCGUAUACCUUGUCUCAUAAUCAGUGAACUUCUUGCCGAUCUCGUAUAUUGCCCUUUCUUUCCUACCAGUUUCAUCUCAUCGUGCUGACCAAGGACAGACACAACUCAUGGAUGCUUGAAUUACUUACAGAUAGAUGCAUCAGGAUAGGCUUUCCUCUUUUUCCCACGGAGCGUCCGUCCGAAGGACUACGAAGGAGGACGCCUAGUUUUAGUGGAAAAUAAGGGUCCGGAGGCUGAAUGAAAUUCUCUAAUGGAUAGGACCCACGGAGCGGUGCAAUGAAGCGUUGUAAGGAGCUUUUGUUUUGAAAGUGGCCUUUUUUAUAAGAGGACUAUCCAUAUUCACCUUAGGAUCAAAGUCAGCCCACGGAGCGGAACAUAAUCAGACUGAGACUUUAAUUCGAUCUUCAUUCUCCCACGUAGCGGUCUUCUCGUAUGAGAUCUUUCGAGGUUAGUUACGAAGGAGAGGCGCAAAGAAUAUUGCGAAAAGCCUAGCCUUUGAGAAUUUUCAUCUUCGUUCUUUCGAGAAUGAGGAGGCCCACCUUUCUUGCUCCUUCCGCCUGCUUGCGUGCUUGGAGAGGAUAAAGGUGCUUCGACUCUUAAUAAUGCAUCUUCUUUAGAUAAAGGCCGCUUCCCGGAAGGAAAGGAGUGGAGAAAGGGUCCUUCUUCCUCCCCUCCUUUCGAGAUCCUCUUUUCUAAGAACCUGUAAUAACUCCUCGUCAACUAAGCUCUUUCGCGCUAUCGUAGUAGCUUGACUCAGUAUUAGGUUAUUCAGUUCCCACCCACACUCGUAGGUUCCGAUCAAGAGAGGUGAAUCAGCUUUCUUUCUUCCGCAUCCUCUUUAGGAUUAGGAGUCGAGCCCUUGUUCAUUGAUGGCCUAGCCUCUCUGUCUUUACCAAAAGGAUAGCUUGACUCAAAAGAGAAAGGACGCUUGAAGUUCAAGAGCGACUCCGGACCCGCCCGGAAGUUGUCGAAUCAUUAGCCAAAUAAGGAGAAGAGAACAAACUGGAGUGGGAAAGGGGAGAAGCAUAAGGUUGCCCGGUUCAGAUCAGUCUUCAUUCUUUCUUCGGCUUAGCUGAGAUUCGUACCAUCAUGCCUUCUCUACAGCACCACUUUGCCUUUAACCAGAGGUAAUUCGCUCCUUUCCCGCUCCGUAGAGUUCAAGACUUCCGCUCCGUGGGGGUUAAGACUUUCUAAGAGUUAACAAGAAUACCGGAAUAAAGAAGCUUUACGGUCUCGCUCUUAAGUCGUAUUCAUCCCUCAGAAAGAUAAGAGUGAGAGGUGAGACUUCGUACUCACUCUUCCUUUGGUGCCAAGAAAAGACCUUUUAGUGUAUAGAACUCAUACAAUAUCCCUGUCUUAUGGAGCCUUGAUUUUCCCGUCCGUUUCAGACGCCAACAGGUUAAUAUGGUCCUUUGAAUAUGGAUAAACAAGUCAUCUGGACCUCGCAUAUUGAAUUGCGCCUUACAAGAUCCAGUCAAUGAAUCCGUGGGCUUACUUUGAUCCUCUCCCCCUAUUUCCUAUCGUCGGCGAGCCGCUUUCGCUCCGAAGGAGGUGCAAAGAAUAUUUCGUGGAAGAGGAAGGAAAGAAAGAAAGGUAUACAUUACAAGAAGAGAGAAGAGGAAGGCGCCAUAAGACAGGUCCGAAGGCUAGGUGCAAAGUUCGGUUAAUUACGGAAAGUCCUCCUUCCUUCCAUAUGGAUGGUCCUACUUCGGUUAAUUACGGAUGGUCCUACGGAUAAAUCACCUGGACCUUUCUUUGGCCCAUAUGGAUAGUCCUCCGGACUACGGAUAAAUCCUGCGGACUGCGGACUCCGGACUCCGGACGGCUGUCCGCUACGCUACGGCUCCGCUUCCGCGAUUAAUAUGGAUAGUCCUUCGGACGGAGAAAGAAAGGUGCAAAGAAUAUAUAGAGAAGGAGAGGAUCAAUGUAAGUAAUAUGAUGUAAGGAGAGGAGUUUUCUCCCGCCGAAUUCUUAAGGAGCAAUCAUUGAUAAGGAAGGAUCUUUUCACCUUUAGCUAGCUCGUCGGGCGAUGUCAACAAGGUCCUUCGCUCCGGACCCGCGUAGUGGGAAUGGACAUUCUUUCUUUAGUGCAGCGUCAUUUGCGAAGAAGCGAAAAGAGGAAAGAGGAAAGCCUAUCCAACCCACGGGGCGGUCUAAGGAAGGAAAGCCUACUUAAACCUACUAUCAAUGAACCGCAAUAUUCUUUGCGCCUCCCAGUCUCCUAAUGGAUAGUCCUACUUCGGUUAAUUACGGAUGGUCCUACGGAUAAAUCCUCCGGACUCCUUCCCUCCAUAUGGAUGGUCCUACGGAUAAAUCCUCCGGACUCCGGAUAAAUCCUGCGGACUGCGGACUCCGGACGUAGGACCUGUCUUUAUCAGGAGCGUAGCGAACAGCCGUCAACUACUUGAUAGUUAUCCUAUCUUUCUCCUACGCGGAAUCCAGAAUAGACCUCUCUUUCUCCGGAAAAGAAACUCAAACAAGAAUCAAACUAUGUGAAUUUCUUAUCCCUUUCCUAGGAGUUCUUCUUUCAUUGCGUUUUCCCGGCUUUUUUGCUUCUAAAUAGGACUUUUUCUCAUAUUUCUAUUUCACGAAAAUAGAUCAAAAAUGACUGAUUUUUCAUGAUUUCUUUCUACUAUUUCUUUUCAGCUCUCCUUAUCAGUCGAGCCCAAAACCUAGCAUUUCCCUCCGCGGAUUCAUCUGAAAUCUAGCAGAUUCAUAAUGAUUCUUUCAUUCGAGUUAUGAAAUCAUAAUGAUUCUUUCAUUAUCGUUAAUGAGCUUCUUUCAUUAUCGUUAAUGAGCUUCUUUCAUUAUCGUUAAUGAGCUUCUUUCAUUAUCGUUAAUGAGUGAAUUCUGCUUUUCUUGACUUUUGUGCCAGUCCGAAGGACUAUCCAUAUUCUAUUCUUUGCGCAUCUGCGUCCUUCUUUUUCGCAACGCAUAUUGAAUUGCGCCUUUUAUCUCUUUCUUCUUAAUAGACCAAAUCGAUGAAAUAGACCAAAUCGAUGAAAAGAAGGAGAAUUUGUCGGAAAUGGCCGGGAUAGCUCAGUUGGUAGAGCAGAGGACUGAAAAUCCUCGUGUCACCAGUUCAAAUCUGGUUUUCUCGGCACAUCAUGAAUUUGUAUGAGUAUCUAUUCUACGGAUUCAUUAAUAAUAUAGAUCAUUCAAGGAUACAUCAUCUUUGACCCUCAAGACUCAACAAUAUCCCCCAACUACGUUGCCUCAGUCGCAGCAAACAAAAAGAAAGCGGAAAUCCCCUAAUGGAUAGUCCUUCGGACCUGUCUUAUGGCGCCUUCGGACGGUCACAUAUUCUAUUUUUUCUCUAGUUCAUCAAAUUUCAUGGAUCCGUAGUUAGGAUCCAUAAGACUGAAUAUGGAUUUCUCAAUCGCAUAUUUCAUUGCGCCUCCGUAGCUUAAUAUGAUUUGCUCAAAUAUGCGUUCCAAAAAAAAGAAAGAAUGAAAACUUUGAAUAUUGCGUUGCGUGGAAAUGGAAAUAAUAUCCGCGCGUAGGAUGAAUGAAUAUGAGAAGAAUAUUGACAAGCGCAUUUAUCUAAGAAGAGAAAACGAGUCAAGAGGACGGAGUGCAAGGAUGAAAUCCCGUCCUCAGUCCUAUCCAUAUUAACCUGUUCAUAUAUAGACCCCUCCGCUAGGCUCAAAGAAGAUUUCUCAAAAGUCUGAUUAAAUAGCCGAUAAAAAAGCAGUGAAAUAACUGAAAUAAGCGGUCUACAAUAUAAUAUCCCCCUUUCUUAUGGAGCCUAACUACGGGGGGGGGAUCGAGAAAAUCAGACUCCAAGGGAGAGGUCAGACCAGAGAAUUCUAUUUGGUAUCGGGUGGGCUACUCUUUGUGCUUAUGUUACCAAGGAGCACAAGAGCCCUUACGUUUGGGGACAGUAAUCACUUCAAGAAAAAGGGUCGGGUAGAACAACUUCUUAGGGGAAGCUUUUUCUAUGAAGGAAGAGAAAGAAGAAAAGACGAAGCAAAGAAGCGGAGCGGUAAAGAUCUCUGGCCAGAACCUGAUAGGGCUAGCUUAGCUGCCAGAGGGAUUGGAUUCUCUCUUUAUUGUAUAUCAAGAGAACGUAGAAAUCCUUCUUUCUAGUACGCUCCCAGAAUGAGCCCAAGCCCAGAGAAUGAAAGGUGCUCCUUUUCUCUAUUCUAUAGAUAUAAGAAAGCAGCUAAUUGCUAGCUCUCUUCCUUUGGUGCGAGUGAGGGACUAACCGCCUUACCUCUGCUCACUCCGGAACUAAAGAAAGCCUACCAAAGAAGAUUGAUUGCUAAGCCAGAAAGAGAAAGAAAGCCUACCAAGAAAUCGAUCAGUCCCUAGGGUUAACAAAUUAGUAAGUUCAUGUGUCAUGUAAAUUACUCAAGGGUGUGUAGUAAGACACCCAUCCGCAGCUCAAUAUUCUUUGAACCUCACCUUGACUAGACACUCAGCGCAUCAUGACUCAAAGUAGUACUAAUUUUGAGGGAAGAAAAAAAGGCGAGAGAUAUUAUCGAGGGAAGUAGUCAUCUUCUUUGAUUCAUUCUAAGAACUCUGUCCCAAGCGGGAAAAGCUCAGAGAAAGGGAAUUACACAGGAUGAAAUGGGGAUGAAAGUAGGUUAGAGCUUAGAGAUUAUGUCCGUUGCACUGCCAUAGUCGUCGCGAAGGAGAAGGACGAGGCGCUAUAUCAUAUAUAUAGCUCUACUCAAUGAGAAUGCAUCCAGAUAGAGUGCCGCGAAUUAGAGGAGCCGAUACAGAAUGGGAAGGAAGACAGUGCUGUCUUACAUUCCGCGUGGGCCAGCCUCUCUUUAUAUGUCACCAAAGAAGACAAGAAGCCCUAUGUCUGGGGAAAGUUCUCCCUUCAAGACAUACUGCAAGAAGCAGAGGUCAAAGCACAAAAGGCUUUCUUGUGAACCAGCACGAGCGUGUGCGGAAGCUUAGAGAGAGGAUUGAGCAGUACGAUGAUUUCCUGGAGCUAAGGGGCGAUCCAGAGAUCGCAGGGCUCCUCUGGUCCAAGUACAGUACUGAAAGCAAAAUCAGGGAAGAUUCCCAGCAGAUAAAGCUAGAAAAGAGAUCCACUAUGGAGCUACGAGUAGCUUAUCUCGAGGAGAGGGGCGAAGAAGCUCGACUGAAAGGAGAGGGGCCGGCCUCUUCUAAGAAGAAUUAGAGGAUCAAUCUCUAUUCUUAGAUUGGAUUGGAUCGCCACCAACCUCGUCUUCCAGAGGCCCAUCCAUAAAGACAAGGCAACUCUUUGUCUAUGGGCGGCCAAGUACACAAAAAACCCCCUUGUUCUUAGUAUGUUAAAGAAGGGCUUAAGGGAAGAAGAAGAUCAAGCCUAGGGACAAAGGAAGAACGACUAAAAUCAAAAGGGGCACACGAUUACUUCGACCUCUGGGUCGUCGAUGAGUUCAUGGAAGACAAGGCGCAGUCCGAAAACGAAUCGGAACAAGGUCGGAAUUAGAUUCAGGGGAUGCUCACGCUCAUGGGCAGGAGUGCAGGCCUCAAUACGAAAGGACCUGAUAUAAGAAGGCCAAGGUUCCCAUUAUUUUCAUGGGAAAGCAUAUACCUUCUACCUGAACCGUGGACGAAAGGCCUUUGGCCAAGAGAAGAGAGCCUUUCACCUUUCAACUUUGACUCCAACAUAGAGGAGCUGCAAGAGGAGAGGCUUAUAGCCAAUGGGGUUGUAUUUUCGGCCGCCUGCACGAUAGCAGGGGAGCUCGUAAGGGAUCCCCGCCUUUAAUACAAUUCGUUAAGCAGAUUAGAAGUGCCUGUAAGCGACGGAAAGAUUCUUUCACUCCUUAUUAUUGAAAGGAGAAAUCCACGUGCUGGCAAUAAGGAAGGGCAGCAAAAAGGGGGAGAAAGCCUACCUGGACCGCGGAGUGGGCAUUGCUCAACUGAGAGCAUGGGACAUGAACCUACUACAGUUUGCCGUAGUACCCCAAGAAAUCCGUAAAUUCAUAGCCCAUGAGCCCACACAGCACAUAAGGGGAGCACGCCAAAGGCUGGUUAUAAGGAGGGAAGAGGACCACGAUAAGCAGGAUUACGCCUUAUGGUAGGCUUUCCUUCGUGACGUAAAAAGGGUGCCCCAGGCCUUGUUCAAGGUGACCCAGCAUCCAUCUCCAUCAGUACUCUUUCUGUUCUAAUAAGCUUUUAGCAGUAUAGCGGGAAGCAUUUUCAUUCAAUAGGGCAAGAUGGAAAUUUUCCCACUCCAUUGCAUUGGGGAAGAUUUUUGAGAAGUUUCAGCCUUAGUGCAUUCUUUUGUCUCUUCUCUCUGUCUGCCUGAGAAAGAGUUCUGAGAAUCAAAUCAACCUUCAGAGAUUCCCGCCUUCUUUCUUGACUAGUAGUAAGCAUUAUGCCUUUCAUUUCUUAACCUAGUCAAAGAGGGGGAGCCGCUGCUCCUUUGUAUAGGGAAAAAGGGUGAUAUAAAGGGAUGAAUUCUCUGGUCUAAUUAAUAAUAGACUGGGGAUCGUAGGAAAGGUUCUUUACUUGUCGGCUAGCCUAAGCUCCAUCCUACUUACUUGCUUUCUUACACAUUUAGACCGGUCCGAAGCCUGAAUUCUCGAUUUUCGGUUCAUCUGAAUUCAAAAGAAAGAAAUCAGAGCCCACUUCAUCAAAGAAAAAAAGAAGAAUGGGGACGGUCCCCUGCUUCCUUUAGUUCCUUUGGUGAACAAUAGGUCAUCUUCUACCCAGAAUUGACGAGUCUUCCCUUCUUUAAUCAACUGUAUUAUAGCUUGGGCCGCAGGGUCCUUGGCCAGGCAAGCCUUGAUAGUUUCAAGAAGGGUGCCGGCUGCUAGCUUUUAAAUGGGCGAAGAUGCACAGGGCCGCAUGUUCGCUCAUCCGACUAAGGGCUAAGGCCGCUCUCCUUUACCUGUCUUCAAAUUUCAAAGAAAAUUCGGCCAAGCAUUCUUGCCAACGAGCUUCUUUAGAGGUCAAUUUGGGUUGACUGAAAAAGUGGCAUAUCUUUCUAUUGUCCGUCUUGACUACGAACUGGGAUCCCAAGACAUAUUGUCUCCAGGCUCUAGUGUACCACUGCAAGCAUUUCUUUCUCUCCGGCUUCUCCUCUCCGCAUCCAUCCUUCAGUUUCCUGCUCUCAUAGGCAAUGGGAUGGCCGUCUUGGAGGACUAAGGCAAAAUCAGAUGCGUCGCUUUCCACUUGCUUUGCUUACAUCGGCAAUUCCGAGAACCGGCCCUUCCAUCAUGGCCUUCUUCAGAUCCCCCAGCCUGAGAUUCUGGGGUCCAUUCCAUUCCCACUUAUGGUCUUUCUUCAAGAACUCCGUUAAGGGCCCUGUUCUUGAAGAGAAUCCCUCAAGGAAGGUAGGCUUUCUGGAAAAGAAAUAGUAGGUUCUACGAGGAAAGAAGGCAAAUCCCUUACUACAGACGGCACUCUCCAGUCACGUAGAGCAGUCAUUUUGCUCUCUUCCAUGCCGAUUCGGCCACACUCGAUCACGUGACCGAGGAAGUUAAUGCCUUUCUGAGCAAAGGCAAUUUCUCUCUCUUUACAUACAGUCAACCUCAAUUUCUCAAAUACUAACUGAAGGUGAGGUUGAUGCUCUUCUAGCCUCGCGCUCUAAACCACAAUCUCGUCCAGAUAUAUAUACUAGGAUCAACUUCUCAAGGUAUGAAUGGAAAACCUGAUUCUGAAAGGUAGAAAAAGUGGCUGGAGCAUUGGUGAGGCCGAAAGGCAUUAGACUCGGAAUGAAAAGGCGUAAUCUCGUCUAAGACAAUGGUUCAUCUCCUGAAGCAAUUCGCACUUGAUAAUAAAUACCCUGAAAUCUGAUCCAAUUCUUCAAAGUACUUGGUGGAGGCGGUCAAAUAAGUCUGUGAUAAUGGGGAGAGGUCUUUCGAACUCUGAGUUUAUUCAGCGCUCGAUAGUCGAUACAUAAGCGGAGACUUCCCUCUUUCUUCUGAAUCAAGAAGAAAUAUGUGCGCGAGGACCUUUUGCAGGUCUAAUAAACCCAGCGUCCAAGAACUCUACCAAUGAGAAGUUCUGCCAAUUCUGGCGGCCCCAUGUGAUACGCAUUCUUUGCAGGGGGUCUCGCCCCGGGUAGAAGUUCUAUCUCAUGAUCUAUCCCCCUGAGUGGAGGUAGAGUCUUAGGCAAACUCUCUGCCAUUACGUCUUGGUAUUCGUCUAAGACAUACUGGACUGCCUCCGGAACUAGCUCUUUCGGACUUUCCUCAUCAACCACUGGGAUAGCCAUGAAUGAACGUGGGCUCUUCGCGGGCUAGCCCUCUCUUCAGCUGGAGAAGUUUCAUCCCUUUCUUCUCUUUGUCUGGACUACGGUGGGAUUAGAUCCUGUGACUACCAAAGAUUUGGCCAAGGAUCAAAGUAUUUGAGCUUUGCGCCUUGUGUUCAAGAAGGAAUUCCAUCCCCAGCACUACAUCAAAAUCGUCCAUCUUCACAACCAAAAAAUCCGUCUGUCCACUCCACGAUCCCAAUUUGAACCUCAUUCGUCUUGCAAUCCCCAAAAUGGGUAAGGCGGCUGAGUUUACUCCUUUCAUUUUUCCUGGGUCUUUGUCCCAAUUCUAAGACGUCGGGCCUCUGUCUCAGCAAUUCCAUUGGGGGUGGGAAUCGACCUCUUUUGGCCUCUUUCUGAUUCACCCACGCAUCUACGUACAUGAGACCUCGUUCCGCCUGUCCUUUAUUUCCCUCUGCCUUUUUCUUCAGGGCGGACAAAAACUUCAGGGCCCCGGGGUUUUCCUCGCCCUCUUCUUCCCCUGUAUUCGUCUCAUUCUUUUCUUUGUUCAUUGAUCGGCAUUGGUUCUUAACCUUGCCUGGAAUGCCUUGAGAGCAGCGAGAUUUGGGCAUUCGUAAACUCGUUGGGGGCCCUUGCACAGGAAGCAAGAUGGGGGUCCUCCUCUAUAAUUGCCUUGCUCUUGCUUCGGGUUGCGCCCUUGGUGUCCGCCUCUUGGGGGAAAGGCUUUGCGAUCCCCUCCUCCCGCUCUCUCUCCUCCUCCACUUUUGGGAGAGUUAGAUCCGGCGGGUUUAUUACUUCCACUAGAGGAAGCUUGCUUUCCUCUUUGCUCGUGGGGCGCAUCCUUGCUGAGAUCAAAUAGUCGUUCUGCUGCGGCAUAGGCUGAGGACAGGCUUUGGACUGACGGCUUUCUCUUUCUUUUUCUUUCUUUUAGCCCACCACAAAAGAUCAAACUUUAGCUUUCUCUGACAUAUCACGGAUAUCCAGGAUCAGCCCGGCAAAUUGCUUCACGUAUUCUCUAAUUGUGCCAGUAUCUUUUAGUUCUCCUAACUUACUGAGAAUUUCUUCUCGGGGAAGAACUGAGACCGCAGCUCUUCUUUCAGUGUCUCCCACGUAUCGAUGGUCCAUCUACCCUCUUGGAUGUCCACAAAUCGGGACCUCCACCACAAGCGUCUUCUGCCAGGUGCAUCGUCGCCAAUGUGAUCAAAGACUCUUCAGUCACUGUAUUCCUAGCUCUUAAAUAUUGUUCCAAAUCAAGGUGAAAAGAAUAUUGACCAGCCUAAGAAAGAGAAAGCCUAGGCACUUGAACCCGGUUGAACUGGACCGCGCCCCGGGCUUGGUCACCGCUCUUAUGGUGAGAUUGACUCUUGCGCUGACAUCUGCAAUCUCUGUCCUGAUGACAUUAUCAGAGCUCCUCCGAGAAUUCAAUUCGUUCACCAUUUUCAUUAUCGCUUUCUCUCAGCUGUCCAAUGCAAGGCUCUUCAGGCCGUAGAGCCCAGCUAUCCCCUCCCUCGCUCGAAGCUACCCAACCUGCUAGCAUUUGCUUCUCUCAAAUGAGCAAUAUUCUUUGCACCUUGUCAUCAACUCUUUGAGGGGCAUUCCGUCUAAGCGGCCAGCUACCGCAUCGAUUCCGCCUUCUCAGAGACUUCCUUCAGCCGAGUGUCUCUAGGAAUCGAACUUGAUCAGGGACUUCUAUCAAAUAGAGCAGAUGCUCUUCCAUCUCUCCCAACCGGUCAACGUGGGACUUACCCAACUCUUUCGUAGCCGACAUGAUUACAGCUUGUUAACUUCGUGAGCCGACUUGGCUCUGAUACCAAUUCUCACGGUCGCACUUUCGUAAGCGUCUCGGAGCGAUCUAAGGCAAUCCCACACUAGAACAAGUCAGCCAAACUCAAUCCAAAUAGCCGAUGGCACGCACAAUGGACGUACUUCGCAACCCUUGAUCAAUUAGAAAAGGGGUUUAGAGGAAAAGGUUUGAGCAAAGGUUUGAAAGCAUCUUUGAGAAAAUCAAUGAGGGCUAUAAGCAGGACAAGAAGUUCUAUCUUUUCACUCGAGGAUGUGUGGAUAUGAUGAUUAGUCUGACCCCCACAUAGUACAUUUUGAACAAAAAGAGAAUUGGCAGGCUCAACUAGAAAGAAAGGAAGAAAGCCAGCGGUGGAAUAAAGAAGAAAGUUUGAGUAUAUUCACCUUUUAUUUGCCGCCUUGAUUUUGUGAAGAGGUCGGAUAUAUAGGAUUAGGAGGAGUGGGAGUGGAGAUCCCGAACUUGCAUGAGAAAAAUAGAUCAGUCAGAAAGGACUUAUCUCAUUCUAUAUGUUCCGACGCAUAAAGAAAGAGUAGAAAAAGAUAGAAAAAGGACGGGACAAUUAAUUCAAGUACGGAAUCCUCUGUCCAUGUCUUGAGGUCUAUUCGAUCUUGAUCGACUGCUUUUUCCUUAGAAGACAGCUGUCAAAGCAACCUCCUCAACCUAUCGGAAACUCCUCUGAACCUGCGAUGGAUGAUCUCUACUGGUCUGAACUUUCUUCUUAGUGAACUGAAAGGCCUACGAGGAGGCUGCUCGAGCUACCUUACCUCUCGGUAUGAGUGCGGUUUCCGUCGGAGUUCUUGAAUCGGAAAUGAGUACAUUAUCAGCCGUCCAGCGACUUUCUUAUUCUACUGUCAAAACUUCUUCCUCGCUUUUCUUUAUGGGAACUGAAGCUCGCUAGGUAGGAUGGAUGCAAAAGUCUGUCCUUCGAUAAUUGGUCGGGCAUAUUCCUUCCACUCGUGAACCCCUUCUCCUCGGAAUACGAACCUAUUCCACUGCAGAAGAACCGAGACUUCUCCUACGAAUGACUCGUAAACUGAAGAUCUUUCAAACUCCUCCGAGCAAUAUGAAAACCUACUAAAGCCUAGGAGGGAAUUCCAUUCCGGCCUGGCUUACCUUGAGAGUUGACUGACUUUCUUCCUCAUGAAACUCCAAUGCAUUCCCGAAAGAGGUCAAGCUGCAACCUAUCCUCUUGGUCUCCUCACACAGCGCGUAGUGGUGGUCGAGAUAUUAAAGGCGUAGUGGGCUGGCCGGUCUACGAAGAGAUUCUAAUAGUGAGAGAGCCAGACCCAAGUCAAGAGUUCUAUCGGAGGCCUUCUCUUGAAAACCGAGUUCUCGAUCCGAAUUCAGAUUACUCGGUCUAAUAAUGGAAGAGAGGUUCCAUAAGCAUAAGAGGAAAGCCAUACCUACUCAUAUCUUCUGCUUUCAGUUACCUCCGGGCUUCCGGUAAUCAUUGAAUCAUUACGCAUGGUCUAAUGGAAGAGAGAGAGAAAGAGCCAUUCCACUCGUCAACUUAGGAUGUGCCACCAAGGCUCAAAGAAUUUGAGAAAGAACAUCACUCCUUUCUUCUGGUCCGGUCCCGAGCAAGGUAGAUCCGCCUGUCUUUCAUGCUUUGUUUUUUCCUCUAACCUCUCGACUCGUACUCUUUCUCUCUCCUUUCUUCCUCGUGCGUGCCUAUUUGACUUUGCUGUCUCGCUACUUUCUCAGUCUGAUCCUUCAUUAUUCUUUCAUAAGAGAAUGGGAAUAUGAGCAUACGAUUUCUGAAUAAUAGCUUGACUCUCCUGGAACAAGCCACAGCCACUUCCUCAACUUCCGCAGCCACUGCUCUCGAUCCUUUCUUCUUCAACUUCAACCGCUCCUUUACCUUUAAGUAGGUUCAGACUUUCCUUUCUACAGUCAAAAUCAACCGUGGGCGUGGUGACCAAUCGUCCGCGAUGGAAUGAGAUCUUGAGUCAUAAGAAAAGGUAGGGAGAGGUGGGAAGCCGCUAUCGGUCUGAUUCAUAGGGCAUUCUUAUUCUCUUUCUCUCUUUCUUCCAAGAAGACUAGACCGACCGACCCCCACUCGGAUCGGUCUUAUUCCGCUUCUUAUUCUACUUAAUAAAUAAAGGUAAGAUAAGAAAGCCACGGGUGGUGGGAGGUAAGCUUCGUAGGACGCCCCAAAGAUGAAAGAGGAGGCUACCUACCUACAAGCUUGACUUAUAUCCUCGUAAACUACUUUUGAUAGGGAUCUCAUGAUCGGAUAGUAAUGUCAUAGGAUUGAUCAAAGAUCAAAAAGGGUUGCGAGACCUAGUUUUCUCCUUUUCUUGGGUUCGGGAAAGGGUAUCGGAUUAUGGGCGAAGCCGCUCCACUGUAUCAAGAUCGAGAACUCACCCGUAUCAGAUGGAUCGGCCGAGUCAUAGCUCUUCCGUUGCAGCAGAGUCAGAAAGAGCGGGGAACUCCGCAAUAGUAGGACUAGCUAGCGCAAGAAUCAUAUAUCUACUCAACGAAGCAGCAUAGAAAGGACAGGAGCGAAGCGAGUAUCAUCAGUCCAUUCAAUAUUCCAAAUUGAAUAAGAAAGAUUCCCGCUACGUGGGCAAAGAAAGAAGGAAAGUAAUAGAGAGUCACUCCAUUCAUAACUAGGUAGUUCUGGCUUUCUAUCUCCAUCUUAGAGUGACCACCUUCUUUUCUCAAAGAAAGCAGGCGACCAAUAUAAAAAAUAGUGGACUGCGGUCCUGCGAAGCCGGUCAACGGAUAGGCAGAGUACAAACCGAUGGUAGACUUUCUUCAAGUUUGACUUUCCAUGAACUAGUCUAUUAAAGAAGAGACGAAGAGCUUGAUUAUCCACUUAUUUCCCCCUCAAUGAUCUUGAGCAGGGUAUAUAAUGGAGAAUAGAGACUGAACUUCUUAAUAUGUAUCGUAUCACAGAUCCAUGAAAGAUCCUUUUUUCCUAGCCCCUAUUGCACCAUCUUGAUAGGAAUAGGUUGAAUGAGUCAGAGGAAGCGAGACAGAAGGCAUCGGGGCAGGGGAGUAAUCGUAAUCCGUCCCAGGAGAAUAGGAAGUAUCCGUUGAGGAAUCAGAAGUUGAAUGAGAGGAAUGAGAGACUGAAAGCAAGACGGGAUCGAUGUGCAGGUCAGAAAUCGGGGGGAUAUUUUCUAGGGAUCGGAGGCCCCGGUAACAUAACUCUCUUAUAGAAAGAGUAGGGUAGGAGUAUUCUCAGAAGUUAGUAUUCCAGAGUCAGCCUCAUCCAUUUCAUGAGUCCGAAGUUUCAGUUUCGGAAGUUGAAUCAGAGUGAGAGGAAUCAUCUUUCGGCAGAGGGCUAGGCCAGGAGGGCUUGAUGGGACUAUCUCAAUUCUCUGUUCCGGAAGCCUCAGUUAGAGGUUAUCAUAGGAUCGACCUUCACUAUCCCAAGCAGCUAUCUGCUUAGGGGCUCUCUUCUUCCAUGUCGGAGAAAGUACUUUUUCUUGAAUCAGAGUCUGAGUACGAAAAGCAUCCUUGAGUAUGAGAAGGAUAGGUUGCUAGGGAAGAAAGGAUAGAAGCAGCUUUACCGCCCACGUAGCGGGAGAGAGAAUGAGAGGGAUAGGACGUCAUCACCUUAUCAAUAGGAAGCGAUACCGGCCGAGUGCCAUUUAGUUAGGAUGCGGCUUUCCCGACGGGUAACUGAAAUUCCUAAGCAAGAUCAGUUUCAUUAUCCGUUUCCGAAGAGCUACUCUGAUAGCUUGACUCAGUAUUCUUUAUACCCCCUCUUUCAAGGGAGAAUUAUCCGACUUAGGAGGGUACCGCAUUGGGCAGAAGCAUCACAGCAGUUCCUAUAAGAAAUAUUCCCUAGUUCAGGUCGAGCAGAGCUUCAUACCGAUUAAGAAAGGGAUAAGAAGACAGCUGAGCACCGAUCCCGAAAGAAAAGAGUCUAAGUCGAAAAAUCCGCUUUUAAGAAAAUGAAGUCAAAUUCUUUGCCUCUGUCUUAUCCGCUCCUCUCCCACUGCGUAGGAGGACGGUCUAGCAGCCCUUUUUCUUGAUUACGGAAGAAGGGGCCCUAACUUUUGAGUGAUUUAGGCUAUUUCCCCUCUCCCUAUCUAUAGGUCUAGCUCCUAAGCGCGUAGUGGGCUCUGCUGCCUCGCUCGGGUCGUAUUCAUAUCUUGAAAGAAGGUCAGGUCUAGCUUUCGGCGCUCUUCCUAUGGAUCAUGAAAUGAGUACUUAUUGCCAUAGAGCCGCAUCGAUCCUAAUCUACUCUGUCUCCCUUCUGGUCUCGCUCCUUCGCUUCCUAUUUCUGAAGCUUGUUGUCGAGCUCCUUCGCUUCCUAUUAAAUGACUGACUCAUGGUUCUAAGAAUGAAAUGACUUUAGACCUGAAAGAAGACCCGAUCCGGGGCCACUUCGCUCUUCAAGCCUAUCGGUAAAGCAGCUUUCGCUGACUCUGACUUUGCCCUGGUCUACCUUCCCCAAAGAAAAAUCGAGCCCUCACUCUACUCUUGCGCUUCCUUUUCCACUCUUCUCCCUAAGGAAAGAGAGAAUUUGACUUCUACUCAGAUCAGAAAAUAGGGAAAGCUUUCUCCAACUCAUGAAAGGCGUAUGAGGCAUAUGAAAGAGAAAGAGCGGUAGUUCUCAGUCCCCUUAACCCGAUCUGACCCUAUACAAAGCGAUCUUGCUUAGAAAGUCUCUUUCCGCCACCAGAUCUGAUUCCUACUAAACUCAAUCUGACUCCGGAUCUUAUGCUCCGGCUCUCGAUGCUACCGCGUAGUGGGCCAUAGAUCUUUGCGCCUCCUCAAAAAGGGCAAUAUUCUUUGCGCCUUCUCUUCUGACUUCGGUUUUUGGAAGGUGGGCUUUCUUCUUCUUCUUUCUCAAACUAGACGCCCACUUAGCCCCGUCAGUGGCCCUUCUUUUUUGAUAUAUUUAUAUAGGCGCCCGCGAAGCAAGGCAUCCUUCAUAUUUCUCUGGGAUAGGCAGAGUACAAAAGAGAAGGAGAAGAUCGAUUGAGGAAAGCAUGAACUAUCGUUAUAGUUGUGGAAAGUAGAUCUUGAUUCUUCUUACCACCUUCUUUGAGAAAAACCAGCAAGAAUAAUGGCUUUGAUUCAAGCCGGUCAAAGUCUGGCAGAGUAGAAAAUUCGAACUUGCUUCAAGACAGAGAGUUCAAGCUAUGACGGUAGUUCUGGCGAAGUCUCUCUCUCUUCUUCCAUUAGAUGCAGUAGGGGAAUCAUCAUUCUCACUCCCUUUCCGAAGAGCUACUGACUGAGGAAGACUUGGUGCGAGACCGAGUUGGAUCGAAAGAAGCGGCUUUCCCGGAUUGAGUAGGGGACUAAGCUAUCUCAAGAGAGUAGGAGCCUCAAGCGCUUUCAAUUCGAAGUUAGAGUCAGUGGCGCUCAAUCUCCAGCUCCCCCGAGCAGCCUUUCCCGAUAGGGUCUUGAGUGAGUUAUUGCCUUUCUCCCUUUCAUAGGUUAAGUGAGUCACAACAAUCGUCAGCGAGAACUAUCUAUUUCUAUCAAGUAGGCUUACAGAGGGUAUUUCAUAAGACAGGAGAAUUCUCAGUGUCGGCUACGAAAGGCGAGACCAGUCAAAUUCUUUGACCCUAGGCUUGAUUUUCAUAUUCAAGAUUCCACUCGCAAAUUCUUUGCCCCUUAUUCAUUGAUUGCGCUUGCACGCCUAUUUUUUGGAUUUCACAGGUCCGAAGGACAGACAGGUUAAUAUGGAUAGGACUGAGGACGGAAUCAGACUUCUAAUAGAGUGUCCAGCUGACUAUCCAUUAGAAUAAGGCGAAGGCUCAAAGAAUCCCACUACGCGGGAUAGUCCGGAGGACUGGAAGGCGCAAAGAAUAUUGCCCAUUAGAGAAUUUGACUUUGGAGGAGGCGCCAUAAGACAGGGAUAUUCUUGAAUACUAUUACUUCUUAUUUGACGUUAGGCUCAUAAUAUAGUAUGAACCCUUGCGCUCCUUAAGAGUCGCUUCGCUUCUCCCCUCUCCUUUCAGUCGUCCGGAGGCUCAAAGAAUGAUCGGAGCUUUUCAUAUUGCGGAAAAGAAGAAAGGCUCUUUGAAGAUUGAGAAAUCCAUAUUAAAUUAGUAAGCGGUAGCUUUCUUACAAAGGAAAGAUUGAACCGCGUAGUGGGUCUUUCAAAGAUUAUUAUCAAUAUCAAAACAUUUAAGCGGAAGCCUUGUUCUUCCAGCGCCUAUUCUUUGUGGUGGUCCGAGCUACCGGUACUACUUUCUCCUAAUUAGACUAAUGGAAGGAAGACCGUAACCUCCUAAGCGAGCACCCCUUGUCCCUAAUAAGAUCAAAGAGCUUCUCGCCCCUUGCUUGAUCUUCCCCUGGAACCCACGGAGCGGUGGGGUUCAGAUCAGAGUGCCAUGAACAGACUGACGGAAAGAAUGAAAGACCGAUCGUCUAGUAAAUGAGAUGCCCAUUGAUACCCUUUUUCGAUGCAUGCAAAUGGACUGUCGACAAAAGAUAAUAUAGAAAAAUCAGUGAUUUUCCUCUUUUCAUUGCUUCCACCUGCGAACAUUCCCCCUUGAAUCAGUACUCUAAUCUAAGAAAGGGUCCGGGUCGUAUUCUAUCUUUCAUGAUCAAAGAGGAUGAAAUGCUGCUCGACAAGAGGGGUUGCUGUCUAACUUCAAGAAGUAUUGAAAGGUAAGACCUAUAAGAAAGAGGUCAGACCCAGAGACUGAUUUCUUUGAGUUCGCCUCUUCCUUUGGUCUUGAAUAUCUAGAUCUGAGUUCGUCGGCCUCAUUCAAGGCAUUUCACUCAAUUUCCUUUUAUUUACAUAAAAUCGCCUAGUUGAGACCGCGUAGUGGGGAUUUACUCGACUAUUAAAAACCUUGGGAAAUCCGAAGCUCUUUCCUCCCCAAGGCAGACCGAACUACAAGAGCUUUUUUCUAGAAUACGAAGAGGAGGAAUCGGAUGACGAAGGAUCAAUCAGGCAGGGAAAGGAAAGUCGGGCUUACUAGCCCGCCAUCUCAAGCUCAUCAGACCCACGUAGCGGUUCGGAGUCGGAGCGGGAAUAAAAGGAAGAGGUCUAAGUCGAGGGGUCUCCAGCUACCUGGGUAGGGUCGGCAGGUCGGGGCCGAGUGGGAGAUCCUAUUUCAGUGACUAACGAAAGAGCUUACCUCGAAGAAGAGAUGACGCAUCCUCAACUGCACUGCUACUGGUCUCGUCUUUCUCUACUGCUUGAAAGCUGACGCUUCUGACUCAAGAAAGACGGGUUAAAAAGACUAUGAAAGUCCGCCGAGACUGGUGUCUUUCACCCCCUAUUUCCGAUUUCAGUGACUAGAAAGAAAUACUAUACCGCGUAGUGGGACCCGAGCAAAGAAUAUUGCUUUAAAUAGUGGUCCGUCCGGAGGACUCAAGGAUUCCGCUAAAGUUUACCGAAGGCGCAAUGAAAUAUGCGGCGUGAGGUUAGGAUCAAAGAAUUUGAAGAGAAGAAAGGCUCUUUUCAGAUUUCGAGUUUACAAAUUAGGAGAAAGAAAUAGAAAGUGCUGAAUAAUGAACUCAUUAACGAUAAUGAAAGAAGCUCAAAAUGGGAAUGAAAAAGAAAGAGGUGAAUAUGGGAGAUUUCAGACAUCUUUGCUUAAUGAAGACGGAGGGAAAUCCCGGAAAAUGCUAGGUUUUGCCCAUAGGGAAGUAGCAAGAAAGAAAGUCAAAUGCCUUCUUUUUCACUCAAUUAUCGUGAAAUAGAUAAAACUGAAUAUGGAUAGUCCUUCGGACUGGUCCAUUAGAAAAAUCUAGUGUGUGGAAAUUCACAUUGAGAACUUAUAGUUUGUGGUCCUAAAUUCACGCUGGUACCGUAGUAGGUAAACUUUCAGGGGAAAGAGAAAGAACUUUAGGCUUUGUUGAUUUACUACGUGAUGAUUUUAUUGAAAAAGACCGAAGCCGCGGUAUUUAUUUCACUCAAGAUUGGGUCUCUUUACCAGGUGUUCUGCCAGUGGCUUCCGGUGGUAUUCACGUUUGGCAUAUGCCUGCUCUAACCGAGAUUUUUGGAGAUGAUUCUGUACUAGCGGAGGAACUUUGGGGCACGGGUAAUGCACCUGGUGCCGUAGCUAACCGAGUAGCUCUAGAAGCAUGUGUACAAGCUCGUAAUGAGGGACGUGAUCUUGCUCGUGAGGGUAAUGAAAUUAUCCGUGAGGCUAGUAAAUGGAGUCCUGAACUAGCUGCUGCUUGUGAAGUAUGGAAGGAGAUCAAAUUUGAAUUUGAGGCAAUGGAUACUUUGUAAUCCAGUAAUUACUCUUCGUUCUUUUAAUUGACUUUCAAUUAAACUAAACUCGGCCCAAUCUUUUACUAAAAGGAUUGAGCCGAAUACAAUACAAAGAUAUUAUUUUAUAUCUUUUUACUAGAUAUACAAAAUAGAAAAUUGAAAUGAGAAAGAACUGAAACAUUUUUUGAUUGUUGUGCUGGAUCCGCAAUUAAGCCUAUGGAUCCUUAGGAUUGGUGUAGUCGUUUAAUAUAUUAUAUCCCGUAGCCUCGUUUCAGAUCCGGGAUCGAGCCAAGUAUCACAACUUCUUCUACCCAUCCUGUAUAUUGUCCUUUUUGUUCUGUCUUGGAAUACAAAUUUUUGCUUUUUAGUAAACAUUAUAACGGAACCUUUUUUUUGAAGACCGACUCGUUAAUAGUUUUUAAUCCUAGUUCUUGGAUUUAGUGAUAGGAAAUGAGAUAUGAAAAUGAUUUCCUUUUUAUCGAAUGACUAUUCAUCUAUUGUAUUUUCAUGUAAAUAGGGGCAAGAAAGCUCUAUGGAAAAAAGAUGGUGAAAUUCGAUGUUGUCUAAAGGGGAGUUAGAAUACAGGUGUAGGCUAAGUAAAUCAAUCAAUAGUCUUGGUCCUAUUGAAAGUGAAGGAUCCAUUAUAAAUAAUAUGAAUCAAAACAUUCCUAGUCAUAGUGAUAGUUACAAUUCUAGUUACAGUACUGUUGAUGAUUUAGUCGGCAUUCGAAAUUUCGUAUCUGAUGACACUUUUUUAGUUAGGGAUAGUAAUAGCAGCAGUUAUUCCAUAUAUUUGGAUAUUGAAAAUCAAAUUUUUGAGCUAGAAAGUGAUUUUUCUAGUUUUCGGAACUCUACUUAUCAAAAUAAUAUAUCUAAGAGUGAUGAUUCCCACUAUGAUCGUUACAUCUAUGAUACUCAAUAUAGUUGGAAUAAUCACAUUAAUAGUUGCAUUGACAGUUAUCUUCGGACUCAAAUCUGUAUUGAUAGUUACAUUUUAAGUGGUAGUCACAAUUACAGUGACAGUUACAUAAAUAGUGAUAUUUGUGGCCCACGUCUAUAAAAGGGAAAGACUAGUUCAAGUGAGAGUUUCAGUAUUGAAUAUGGAUUUCCUCGUUGCGCUCCUUAACAGUCCUCCGGACUAUCUUUGAACCUUCGGACGCAUGGAAAUAAUUGAACUAUAACAGAAAGUUCUAAUGAUCUAGAUAAUGAUCGAACUCCAAACUACAGCCAUUUGUGGGUUCUAUGCGAAAAUUGUUAUCAAUUCAAUUAUAAGAGACUUUUCAAAUCAAAAAAAAAUGAAUAUUUGUGAAGAAUGUGGAUACCAUUUGAAAAUGAGUAGUUCAGAUAGAAUCGAACUUUUGAUUGAUCCAGGUACUUGGGAGCCUAUGGAUGAAGACAUGGUCUCUGUGGAUCCCAUUGAAUGGGAUUCGAAGGUGGAUCCAGGGAAUUCGGAGGUGGAUCCCAUUGAAGGGGAUUCGGAGGAGUACGAGGACUCUUCUUAUAAAGAUCGUAUUUCUUCUUCUCAAAUAGAGACAGGAUUACGUGAGGCUAUUCAAAGAGGCACAGGUAAAUUCAAUGGUAUUCCCGUAGCAAUUGGGGUUAUGUAGUUUGAGUUUAUGGGGGGUAGUAUGGGAUCUGUAGUAGGCGAGAAAAUCACCCGUUUGAUCGACUAUGCUACCAAUCAAUUUUGACCUCUUAUUUUAGUGUUAGUGUGUGCUUCGGGAGGAGCACGGAUGCAAGAAGGAAGUUUGAGCUUGAUGCAAAUGGCAAAAAUCUCUUCCUAAAUAUCAAGAAAAUCCAAAAUUAUUCUAUGUAGCAAUCCUUACAUCUCCUACUACUGGUGGGGUGAGAGCUAGUUUUGCUAUGUUGGGGGAUAUCAUUAUUGCCGAACCGAAUGCCUACAUCGCAUUUGCGGGUAAAAGAAUAAUUGAAGAAAGAUUGAAGAUAGAAGUCCCUGAGGGUUCACAGAAGACUGAACCUUUAUUCGAAGCUUAUUAGAUCUUAAUCGUACCACGUAAUCCUUUAAAAGAUGUUGUGAGUGAGUUAUUUCAGCUCCACGCUUUCGUUCCCUCGAAUCAAAAUUCAAUCAAGUAAAGCCCUUCAAAAAUUCAUUCUUUUUUUUCUUUCUUCCGCUCAAAAUAGUGCUAGUUGAUUAGAGUUACUUCGGAAAAGUCAAAUCUCUUUUUUUGAUUCUAUCAAUUCCAAUAAAAUGCAACGAGAUCUAGUAUGAAUUGGCGAUCAGAACGUAUAUGGAUAGAAUUUCUAAGAGGAUCUCGAAAAAUCAGCAAUUUCCGCUGGGCCUUUAUCCUUUUUUUAGGUUCAUUAGGGUGGUAGGGAUUUUCUAUCUUGAUUUCCGUCUCAGCAAAGAAUUUUUUUUCCACAGGGGAUCGUAAUGUCUUUCUAUGGGAUUGCCGGUCUCUUUAUUAGCUCCUAUUUGUAUGUAUUUGUGGUGCACAAUUUUGUGGAAUGUAGGUAGCGGUUAUGAUCGAUUCGAUAGAAAAGAAGAAAUAGUGUCUAUUUUUCUAUGGGGGUUUCCUGGAAAAAAUAGUCGAAUCUUCCUACGAUUCCUUAUGAAAGACAUUCAGUCCAUCAGAAUAGAAGUUAAAGAGGGUAUUUAUGCACGUCGUGUCCUUUAUAUGGAAAUAAGAGGCCAAGGGGCCAUUCCCUUGACUCGUACCGAUCUGAAUCUGACCCCACGAGAAAUUGAGCAAAAGGCUGCCGAAUUGGCCUAUUUCUUGCGUGUACCAAUUGAAGUUUUUUGAAAAAUGAAGUUCAGAAUGAAAUGAGUAGCAAGAGGGAUAAAACGGAAAUGAAAGAAUAGUCUUUUUUAUAGACCAUAGUAAUAAUAACUUAACUGGAAUUUCUUCAGAAUGCUCAUUUGACCCAAAGCAGACGUAUACGGAACAGCCAGAAAACUGUCUUUGUCCGAAAUUUUGAUCCGUAUGUAAAUCAACUCCACAGUAAGAAAAAAAGUGGAUUCUUUCUGAUUUUCUUUCUGUAUUAUUUCGAAAUGAAAGGAUUAACUAAUUCAUCACAAAUCAAAAACUAAAAAACAGGGAAUGGAUUCAUAAUAGUAUCCAUAUGACUUGUAAUAGAACUUAUGUUUGAUAUAAAUAUUUUGAGUGUAGAGAGUUAACGAAUGAAGUGAGUUCAUUAAAAAAUCAAAGACGAAAAAAUGGAAAAAAAGAACAAAGAAUAUUGCGUCUUUGCGCCUUCUAUAUCUUGCAUCUAUAGUAUUUUUGCCCUGGUGGAUCUCUCUGAAAUUGAAUAAAAGCCUAGAAUCUUGGUGGUGGAAUACUGGUCAUUUAUUUUUGAAUGAUAUUCAAGAAAAGAGUAUUAUCAAAAAAGUUCUAGUGGACGAAAUGCUAAAGGAAUACCCAGAAACACAUCUACAAAAAAAAGCUUCGUAUCGCAAUCUACAAAGAAAGGAUCCAAUUGAUCAAGAUGCACAAUGAGGAUCGUAUCCAUACGAUUUUGCACUUCUCGACAAAUCAAAUCUCUUUCGUUAUUCUAAGUGGUUAUUCUAUUCUUGGUAAUGAAGAACUUGUUAUUCUUAACUCUUGGGUUCAAGAGUUCCUAUAUAACUUAAGCGACACAAUAAAAGCUUUUUCUAUUCUUUUAUUAACUGAUUUAUGUAUAGGAUUCCAUUCACCCCAUGGUUGGGAACUAAUGAUUGGUUCUGUCUACAAAGAUUUUGGAUUUUCUCAUAACGAGAAAAUUAUAUCCAGUCUUGUUUCCACUUUUCCAGUCAUUCUUGACACAAUUUUGAAAUAUUGGAUCUUCCGUUAUUGAAAUCGUGUAUCUCCGUCACUUGUAGUGAUUUAUCAUUCAAUGAAUGACUGAAAAAUAGAAUCUUUCUUACUUUGUACAUAAGUAAAGAUUCCAAAUUGUACUUAUUCCUUCUACCCAUCACGAAGGAUGCCUCCUAUAUUCGAGUAACUUUAUUUCAGUAAAUAGCAGAAUCAUGGAUAGGGAACUAUACUAGGGACCUACCUAAUUUGAUUGUAGAAAUUUUGGGGCUCAAUGAUUGGACCAUGCAAACUAGAAAUACCUUUUCUUCGAUAAAGGAAGAGAUUACUCGAUCUAUUUCCGUAUCACUCAUGAUAUAUAUAAUAACUUGGGCACCCGUUUCAAAUGCAUAUCCCAUUUUUGCACAACAGGGUUCUGAAAAUCCACGAGAAGCAACCGGCCGUAUUGUCUGCGCCAACUGCCAUUUAGCUAAUAAGCCCGUGGAUAUCGAGGUUCCACAAGCGGUACUUCCUGAUACUGUAUUUGAAGCAGUUGUUCGAAUUCCUUAUGAUAUGCAACUGAAACAAGUUCUUGCAAAUGGUAAAAAGGGCGGUUUGAAUGUGGGGGCUGUUCUUAUUUUACCCGAAGGGUUUGAAUUAGCCCCCCCCGAUCGUAUUUCUCCCGAGAUUAAAGAAAAGAUGGGCAAUCUGUCUUUUCAGAGCUAUCGUCCCACUAAAAAAAAGAUUCUUGUGAUAGGUUCAGAAAUAUAGAAAAAAAGAACCUUUCCUAUUCUUUCCCAAGGCAUCCUUCUCUUGUUCUUGUGCAUCUAAUAGUGAACUUCUUCAAAUCUCCCAUAUACUCCGGCGGAAACAGUCAUAAUCAACGGAAGACUUACCGGGAGUAAGAGUCAGAAUAAUCUUUAUAAUGCUACAGCAGCAGGGAUAGUAAGCAAAAGAAUACGAAAAGAAAAAGGAGGAUAUGAAAUAACCAUAGUGGAUGCAGCGAAUGGGCGUCAAGUGCUUGAUAUUAUCCCUCCUGGACCAGUCCUCCGGACUAUUCGCUAUUCUAAAAUAGGACUUCGGACCAGCAUCAAAAUUCAAUUCCCCUUACUUCUCACUUCCUUGAAUCUCCUUCCUCUUCAUGAAAACUUAUAUUAAUCCGCUCCACAGCAUUCAGUUCCAUAAACAAGUCUCCUUCGGUUCAAUAGGGUAGAAGUCCUUCGGACUUUCUUUUUGGAAAAUAUGAUUCAUACUCAAAUCCCCUAAUGGAUAGGACUGAGGACCUGUCUUAUGGCACAAAAGUCAAUCAAAGAAAAUCAGCUCAUUAACUCGAAUUCAAGAAUCAUGAACUCAUUCACUCGAAUUCAAGAAUAAUUAGGAUUGAAUAACCUGGAGGGAAAUAAAGAAUAGACCCGUAAUUCUCCGGACCAUAAACUCAAACAAGAAUCAAACUAUGUGAAUUUCGAAAAUCAAAUAGGACAAUGCCUUGCUAUUUCCCGGCUUUUUUGCUUCUAAAUGUGACUUUUUCUCAUAUUGAUAUUCUACGAUAAAAGUACUUUAUUGACUGAUUUUUCAUGAUUUCUUGCUACUUUAUAGGCCCAAAACCUAGCAUUUCCCUCCGUCAAAAAGAGUGAAAUCAAUGAAGGAGUACAAUGAACAUCAUAAUGAUUCUUGAAUUCGAGUUAAUGAGCUUCUUUCUUUGCGCCUUCGCAUAUUUCAUUCCGCCUCCGUCCGGAGUCCGGAGUCCUACAGAUGAAUCUUCCGGACUAUCCAUAUGGAAGUAGUCCGGAGGAUUUAUCCGUAGGACCAUCCAUAUGGAAGGAAGGAGGACUAUCCGUAAUUAACCGAAGGAGGACUUUCCGUAAUUAACCGAACCUGGCACCUCCGUCCUCUCCAACAAUAUCCCUGUCUUAUGGAACCUGCUUUCGUCUUCCGAUAAUAGAAAACCUGAUUUCAGUUUCUUCAGGAUAGGCUUUCUCCCAACAACAUCGAUCAGUCUCAGACCUUGCAAAUUGUGCAUUUUGCCUAAUUCAUCUAAGAUUCAGACAAGAGGAAGGCUUCGUUGACAAAGAGGGUUCUUUGAUCUGAACUUUGUGAAUGCACGAACCCCAACCAGACCCUUUCUUUCCCCCGAUCGACAGGGCUAAUCAGCCUCCCUCUAAGUUCUUUCUACUACUACAAUAGCCUCAGUCUCAUGACUAUGCUUUCCCCUUUUCUGAAUAUCGUACCGAACCCAAACCCACUCCGCGGUAGAUGACUUUGAACCUCCCUGAUGGAUAGUCCUUCGGACCUGUCUUAUGGCGCCUGAGGCUCAUCAAAAAGAAGGUUUCAGAUGACCUUUCUUUUUUCUUAGCAACUACUAUUUUGAAUAAGACUCCUUCUACGCCGACUAUCCACUGAAAGUAGAAAAGCCUAUCAAAAGGAGAGGAAAACUACAACUUGACAAACUAUCUUGACUGACUUUCCGCCUUCAAAGAAGAUUCGGAAAGUGGUCCGUAAAUAGGUCUUGCUCAUAUCGGACAUUGAACAAGGCUUCCGCUUAAAUCUUUUGGUCCGGAGGCUGAAUUCAUUGAGUCACCGAAACGUAAUGAAAGCUCCGUGGGCUUACGCUUGAUUUUGAAGGACGCUUCUCUCAAAUUCUUUGAGCCUUAGUUUUCUCUUUUUCAGCUACGCGUAGCCGAUGAAAUAUUCUUUUCACCUUUGCUUUGUUUUCCAGCUUUCCAGCUAUGCGGACAGCCUGAAACUACUUUCUAUUUAUCCGUCCUCCGUCCGGAGUCCGUAGGACUAUCCGUAAUUAACCGAAGGAGUGGGCCACGAUCUUUGCUCCUCACGCAAACCGUAAUAUUCUGCAUUGAGCCUUCUAUCCUUCCAGUCUUGUCAAUAUUCUUUUCACCUUCGGUUUUCAAAGUAAGAGCUAUCCAAAAUCAUGAAGCAUCUGGACCUGUUAAUGGAACUGAUUUUCAUCAUUUGCUGCAUUCUAUAUGAGCCAAAAGUUAGCAAAAUGGGAAUUUCCCUAAUCAAAGAUGUGAAAAACCACCCCAACUUUUACGCCGACAAAGGAGAUAGGCCUUCUUCACCUACGGCAAAGGGGCGAAGCCAAGCGCAUUUAUCUGCUAAAUAAGGCGCAAAGCUCAAAUACUUUGAUCCUAUUUAAGGUGCCAUAAGACAGGUCCGAAGGCGGAAUGAAAUAUGCGGGGGAGCCGAAGGACUAUCCAUAUUAACCUGCGACUGAGGGUGAGACUGGUCCUCCGGACUUGUGAAUAAAGGGUGAAAAGAAAGAUUAGAUUUUAGGCGAAGGACUAUUCACGCAAUAUUCUUUGCGCCUUUAUGUCGAGCUUAUUCUAACCUUGAUUCUGAUAGCUGACCCCUCUCUGCUUCCUUUCGUCCGUCUUAACAAGGCUAUAAUUCAUAAGGGGUUUCGGUCAGUCACUCAAUGAAUAACUAAAUUCCGGUAUUCAAGGUAGCCCAUUCUCAUGGAUCGGCUAUAAGCUCCCCCGUAAACUCAAUGAAAAGAAGUGGAAUGAAAGAAGACAGACAUGGGCAUAGCAGCCUAAGCGGGAACUCUUCUUCUACAAAAAGCUAUCAUCCCUCGUCCGAAGCGGAAAGAACCGCCUCCGCGACGGACGAGGACGAAUGAACCCUUCUUCUUAUGGAUGGAAGCUACCCUGGUUUGCUAGGGAGAAUCCCCCAAUGCAUGAAGACCGGCUCCUCCCUUCUAUCUCCUUCCUUCAGUCGACGAAUAUGAACCGCUCCUGCGCUCUCUUACUCUUUCAUAAUCUUUGAAUAAGCUAAUCUUUGGAAUACUCACGGCCGCUCCCUUCUUGAGCACUUUCAGCCGCUUAUGAACUGAUUAUUUGCUUCGCAGUGCGAAUGAGAUCUUUCAGUAGGUUUUGCCCGCUCCGAAGUCUUAUCAAUUUAGCCUCCAGCUCUCUUAUUUCAGACUGAAGCUCGAUGAAAUUGACCCACCGGUAGGCUUUCAUUCUUUGUGCUUUCAAUUCUCACUGAAAAGGGCUAUUCUCCUUGUGGUCAGUACGAAAGGGAAGAAGAAAAGUAGAGGUUGCGAAAGCUGCUCGACCCAAAGGUUCAAAGAAUAUUGACGAAGCGGCUCGUACGUACAAAGGUUGAACUCCCUUUCGAAAGGAAACCAGCAGGCGAACUCCUCCUCAGUAGAGGCAGAGGGUCUGGUGGCAGUUUCAGGAUAAGCUAGAAGUCAAGACCCGUCCUCCGUCCUUAGUCGUAGUCUGACCGGGUUAAUAUGGAUAGUCCUUCGGACCUGUGGAACUGAUUUUUAUGGGACUUAUUUAUGGAAGGAAUCUGAUAUCUUACCUAUAGACUGGAAGGGAGCGAACUUCCCCUUGUUGGGAAAGGGGAGGCGAAAGGCUCGACUUUCAGUUAAGGAGAGGCAUCCCCCCUGGAAUCUGUACAAAGAUGGGACCAGAAGAAAGCUCGCUUUCAAUCUCUUUCGGCAGUUCCCAUUAAAUUGAGGGGCAUUAGAGGCGGAAGUUUCUGAAGUGAAUGUGCCCUCCUUUCUUUCCGUUCUUCGAUCAGAAAGAGAUCUCUUGACCAGAAAGACAUUUAUACUCUUCGUAAAGUAAGAGGAAGAUCAAUGAAAAGUUCAGAAGAAAGAAGAAAAAGAAGUCAAUGAACAAAGGCUCAAAGAAUUUGAGGAAUGAAUGAAUGCGCUUUCUUGAUUCUUACUAGUAGAAUAAGAGGAUAUAGGAAGUUAGAGAGUGAGCUGUAAGUAAUUCAGGAUGAAUUGAAUUUUGAUGCCUCCUUCUCCCUUAUCAAUAUUCUUUGAACCUCUAGUUAUAAGGAAGAAAACGACUCCAGAAACCUAUCCAGAUCAAUGAGAAAUUUGGCGGAUGAAAGUCUAGGAAUCAAAAGUCAAUGGAAGUCCCUUCUUAUGGCCGAGUCAAUAUUCUACCGGGAAAAGAAAGAAAGGUUUCAAAGCGCGGUGGCCCAGCCUCUUCUCUCUUCAUCGGUUGAUUGAGCGACGAGCUACUACCACAAAAAUAGCAAUAGAUAAAUAGAGAAAUUCGUCAGCCAAAAUAAGAAGGAAAUAUGGAAAUAGCUUUUCUCAAAAGAAGAAUUCUCAGGAUCUCCAGCAAGGCCAGCCGUUCAUUAAAGGCCAGCCCUUGGUUCGGAAUAGGGAUAGGAAGAGUCAUAAGUUGGAAGCUAGCAUCUCGGAGACCGGAAUCUUUCUAAGUUGAAUAAGCUAGAUCCGUUGAGUAAUCACUCUCAGUUGAAGAUAGAAAAUCCCGGUAUUUUAGGUGAAAAGAUUGAAUAAAGCCUUUCACAUGCAAAGGCAAAUAAGUACGAAGAAGCGGACGAAUAAGUACGAAAGCUAUCCAGGGGCAAAGGAAGAAGCGAGACCAGCGGCAGAGCCUUCUUCAUUGAAGCCUAUAACUUGAAGAUCGAAAGAGAAAGAGUCAUCACCGCAGAGGUUAGAACUCUUAGAAAGAGGAACCCCAGAGAUAGGGAGAGGCGCAGCUCAACUUCGACCUUUCCCGCCCACGUAGCGGUAUGAAUAUGAUUCCCCUAGUUUACCAAGAGCUUCUUGAAUUAGGAACUUUCUCUCUGAUGUUUGAGAACUGAAGCUCGUAGGACGUGAAGCUCUUCACUCUGCUUUCUUAGAAAGGUCUGAAUAGGAGAUCUUGAAUGAGAUCUUGCCCUUAUCAGCCUAGAGUUCUAUCCUGUAUCCUCGUAACCUCAAUAGGAGGAUUUAGUCAGUCUCAGGCGCAAAGAGCGAGGAGCAAAGCAACUCUUAGACCAGAGACGUCGACCAGGAGAGGAAAAAAGCCUCAUAGUUCUAGAGGGGAGAAGCAGGGAGGCGGACCCGAGAUCACAAAGAAAUUAUUAAGGUGAAAAAAUCAGAUAUUCUGAAAGUCAUCUGGAGCUUGAUUUUUCUCUCUAUUUAUUUAUGGAUGGGCGGUGGAGCUGCACAUUUGCACUCUUUGAACGUGAUCAUUUCUCACUCACCCGCGAAUAGAAGUCACUCUCUACACGGGAUGAAAAAUCCCCUAUCCUACUCGCUUUCUUUAUGCUUCUCUGGAUCCUUCUUCUCCUCCACCAUUGAUCCUACUUGGGAAUGCAAUUACUUAAUAAUAUAUCUUCCAUAACCUUUUGCCGAGGGCAAGAGAUCUUUCUCAUGCGCAUACCGAAGGCAUAUUCGGUCUUCAAAGCCUACUACAUGAGGACCGGGUCGACCACUUAUGAUCUCCGACUAAGAUCAAUUCCCCCAUUCAUCCUUCUCAAUCUGGACUGCGACGGAGAAGAAGAUAAGACUUUUCCGCUGACAGUCCCCUGUCUCGGUCAUUCUAGCCUGUGCCGAGACUACUUCUCCUUCUUCAGAGUCCUCCUAAUUGAGAGCCGCCCCUCUCCCUACGGUCGAGUCUCUUCGCCCCUCUCCCUACGGUCGAGUCUCUUCGCCCCUCUCCCUACGGUCGAGUCUCUUCGCCCCUCUCCUUUCAGUCGAGCGGCUUUCGCCUUCCUUCUCCUUAAAUGCCCGCUGGUGGGAAGGCUGGAGCACAACUCAUUCUCUGUCUUGCUUUGGCUACCCCAUUUAUUAAUCAUUUCCUUCUCGAUGACUCAACUGGGACCUCUGAUUCAAUGGGACAAGGGGCCUCCUUACUCCCAAUGAAAGAGGAAGUUUCCGACUGGAAUAGAAUUUGAUAGGGCGGGCACUAAAGAGUGAGUUGUGGAGAGACCACCCGGCUAGACCACGAGUUAGCGGGCACUCAGUAAUUGAGUGAUGAUUCUUUGUAAACUGAAACCUAAUAAAUACUGUGAAAAGAAUAUUGACGCUCCCUCGGCCUUCGCGAUCUGCUCCACCUCGAGUUUUUGAAUGAAGGAAAUGAAAAUCAAUCUUUGAAUCUCGCCCUUCCCUUCUAUCCUUUCCAGUCUUAUCAAUUUCAUCUCGUGGACUCCUAUUCAAUUUAUAUCGGAAUAUCAGCCUACUUCUCCCAAUUUCUGAGAUUUUGAUGAGAUUAAUCUUCUCAAAUACUUUGAGCCUCAGCCUUUACUUAAGACUGAACUGCUAGAACUCUCCCUCUCCUUCCAUCUCACCGGUCGAGUCGCGCCUUCUUCUUCUAUUUCUUUUGCAGUAGUACUAUUCUCAAAUUCUUUGAGCCUGAAUUCUUCUUUCACCGCGUAGUGGGCUUCUCAGUCUUCCUCUUCCCUCGGCCGAUACUAAUGCUUUGAGAUCCAUAUCUAACUCAAGAGUUCUAGCUUUGUCUUAAUUCUCCUUAUCAUUCCUCUUUUCCCUUUUCAAGGAAAGCAUAUAUUCAUACUUCUUGAGUGAUGUUCCGAUUUCAGUUAUUGCUUGAGGGGGUCUGACCUUUCUAAGUCUGAUUCUGUGGUAUACCUGAAUAAGUAAACUAAGGAGAAAGGGGGCUCAGCUGCUUUACUACGAGGUAAAGGGGAUAGAAUAUGCUUUUCCGAGUUUGACGAGGUGCAAAGAAUAUUGCGAGACGUUUAUAUCAGUCGACCAAAAAGUCUCGACCUAAAUAAAUGGGAGAGGAGAGAUGGCAACGGAGUUUUACGGAGUUCUAGCAGUUGAGAGAAGAAGGGAAAGGCCCAAUCGCACGGGUCUUGGUUCGGGUGAGACCAGGAAAUUCCCUCUUUAGUCAGAGGUCAAGUCCCCAGAAGAGUACAAAGGGCGCGACCGACCAGUCAUCCCCAUUCUUCUUGCAUCCGUUGAUUCAGUGGAAAAUGGGAGAGUAUGUGUCAUCUUCGCUCGUAAGUAAGCUCGAUCCUAUUUAGCCCUUAAACUAGAUUGUAAUGUCCCAAAAUUCUUCACGACGGCUAGCCCGAUAAGAAGCUCUGCGUCUAUCUCAGUUAUGGCAAAAUGCGGGAAAUCCUUUCCUUCGCUUGAGAACUUUUUUUCGGAAUUUGAGAGUGCCUUUUUUCCGCCUACUCUACUCUUAAAAGAAUCCACAGGUCGCAAUAUGCGCCUUAUCAAUGAUCUUUGCUCGUCCUUCUCCUUAAUAUUAAUAAUUGCGCUUGCCUUCUUAUGAAAAGGUAAUUAAUUGACUUCCGUACCGCUCCGACGGAGCAAAGUUCAUUUCAAAAUCAAGCUCCAGAUGAGUUGACCUAUCCAUUAAACAAGUCCGGAGGACCAGUCUCGCCCUCAGUCCUAUCCAUUAGAAGGCUCCGUGGGCCGCCCCGUGGGAUGCUUUCGGUCCUCCCCUAUCUUUGAGUGAGAGCUGCUGCUUGGUCUCGCUGCACCUCGUAUUCUUAUUGAGUGAAUUGGGUAUUGAUUUCUUCUAUAGGAAAUUUGGAAUGAGACUGAUGAAAUGGGAAAGCAGGCAUAACCCUUAUAGGUUCUUCUCCCCUAACCUAUGAUCAUUGUUCUAGCUGGUCCGAGUAAACUCAGGAAAGAGAGAGAAUUAUCUCUUUAAGAAGUGGCGGCAGUCUGCGGCAGAUCAAUCGUAAGCGAGUAGCAUAAAAAAGAGAGUCAUCAUCCAGGGGAAUGGGCCUCAUCUAUUUCUCUUUAUCUAUUGUAUAGCCCUAUUUCUCUUUAUCUAUUGGCGGUAUCAGCUUGCCAAAAGGUGCGAAGAAGUUCGAGUUUCUAUAUAUCAGGAGUCCCAGCGGCAGGAGAUCGGAAGCUAUCGGGAUCGGUUGUGGCAGAGAAGAUAAGCCUGAGCCGCCCAUUCAGUUGAGGAAGUUGCUACCUCGAAGCCUUUUCCACCCGUUGAUGGAUCUCUUUUUCUUGCUUGCCAUUCGUGCGGAUGAGAAAGAAGUUCUUUGGGAUCUAUUGAAAUAUGAUAAAUAUCUCAGCUUUUGCUAGCCUCCUUUGAGGUUAGCGCCGCGCAUUCACUCAAAGAUAGGACCACUGGUCGGUACCAGGCGAGAUUCUUAUAAGGAUAGGUUUGAAUAUCAAAAGACGUCAGAACCAGAUAGGAACCGGGGCAGGGAAUAAGCCAAGUGGAGAAAGGAUGAGAGGCCCACGUAGCGCUUAGGGGAAGUCCGAUCAAGGACGCGACUUCUCUGAACCUAAUAAAUACUGUGAAAAGAAGAUUUCCGCUUGAUUUUGCGGUUCUCACUUUUUUUCGUAGAAAGAAGAAAGUCUUCUCUCGAGGUAACUGAACUAAUAGGAGUCGGAUCUCUUUAUCAAAGCAGAAUGAGAAGGAUCGGGGGAAGCGCGAACUCAAUAGGAGAGGAGCAAGAUCCUUUUCUGGAUCGGAAGCUCAGCUCUUGACUUAUUCCCUUUUGAGACAGAACCAAGAAGAAGGACAGGGGGAGGAAGAAGAAUUAGUAGGGCCAGAUAUGGAGCGAAGCGCUAACUAUGAAGAAAAGUAGUAUCCGGCGGGGAGGAAGAGGUUAGAAUAUCGGCCGGUAACCUGGCUACAGAAGCGGAUGAAAUAAAGGGAAGACGAGUCCCCAUAUGGCACUCGGAGAGGAAGGAACCCCACCAGAGGACCGGGAAGGGGAAGAGUAAGCAAGAUGAUCAAGACUUCCAGGUCGUAUGAGAAGAAGCUAGAGGAAUCUGUCCCGGAAUAAGCUCCAGAGUCCGCGCGAACUGAUUGACCGGAUUGGAAGCUAUCCCUGAAGGGGAGGGAUAGGAAUUCUCAUCAGAGUCUUGACUAGAUCUCUUUCAUUCUCAGUUGUAGAAUAGGAGCAGGCGCAAUUCAAUAUGCGUUGACGAGACAUCAAUCGGAAUUCUCAGAAUAGGUUGAGGCUUUACCAUUGGACUGAAAACCCUUUGAACCCACAGAGCGGGAUAGGUUAGAAGAAGCUCGGAAGUAGCUCUUGGCCGAGUUGGCUCGAAUCCGUAGUAGUAGUAGCUCUUUCGCGGGCUAGGCAUUAUUGGGGCCCCGUUGCAGCUUAGUUGGAGUUAUCUUAUGAGGUAAUUGAAUAAGCCCACUCCGCCAUCUCGGACUCGCUUACCGCUCUUCAUUUGCAAAGAUGUCCUUAUCAAUGAGACGACUGAGGCUCCAAGCUAAUAUGGAUAUAAACAAGUCCUUCGGACGUCACCUGGACCCGUACGGAGGUGCAGAUGAGUUUCAUUACGUUGAAUCGGUUCCGCAAUAUUCUUUGCACGUCUGUCGAGCUCAAUUACAUCGACCCGUCCUCUUUAGAGUCCUUCGGACGUCCUCAGUCCUAUUCAACCCAUGGAAUUUCUUCUUUUCUCCUGCUUUUGAUAGAGUGAGAACAGCAGCAUAACCUCAAGCUAUCUACAUAUCCUAUCUUAAUUCAGGCAUUUAUACAAGUCUUCUUUCAUGAUCUCUUUCGUAAAGCGAGAACUCUGAAUUUAGGGUCUUUCGUCGGGUCAGAGGGUCCUUUCUUCAUUCUUUUAUGACUAACUCAUUUAAGUAGUCAGAUCUCGGAGAGAGAACGAGCGGGACCGAGUCUCAGUCAGAAAGGUAGAAAAAAUCUUCUUUGGGCCUCCUACGCUUAAGAUGGGACCGGCAAGACCCAGCAAUAUGAAAAGCUUUGAGCAAUAUUCUUUGUCACGCAUAUUUCAUCAAAGAAAGGUCCAGGGUCCGGAGUGCCAAAGAAAGGUCCAGGGUCCGGAGUCCGCAGGAUUCUUAUCCGGAGGACUAUCCAUAUGGAAGUAGGACUAUCCAUUAGAAGCAGUCCGCAGGAUUUAUCCGUAGUCCGGAGUCCGGAGUCCGCAGGAUUUAUCCGGAGUCCGGAGGAUUUAUCCGUAGGACCAUCCGUAAUUAACCGAAGUAGGACCAUCCAUAUGGGCCAAAGAAAGGUCCAGGUGAUUUAUCCGUAGGACCAUCCAUAUGGAGGGAAGUAGUCCUACGUCCGCAGUCCGCAGGGCCAAAGAAAGGUCCAGGUGAUUUAUCCGUAGGACCAUCCAUAUGGAGGGAAGUAGUCCGGAGGAUUUAUCCGUAGGACCAUCCGUAAUUAACCGAAGUAGGACCAUCCGUAAUUAACCGAAGUAGGACUAUCCAUAUUCAGGAGCGGAAUCCAGAAUAGACCUCUCUUUCUCCGGACCAGAAACUCAAAGUUUGAACAAACUAUGUGAAUUUCGAAAAUCAAAUAGGACAAUGCCUUGCAAUUUCCCGGCUUUUUUGCUUCUUUUUCAUAGUCAAUCUCAUAUUUCUAUUGAACGAUAAAAGUACUUUUUUGACUGAUUUUUCAUGAUUUCUUGCUACUUCCCUAUGGGCAAAACCUAGCAUUUCCCUCCGUCUUCAAUCUAGCAGAUUAAUCUGAAAUCUAGCUCUUCAAUCUAGCAGAUUCAUUUUGAGCUUCUUUAAUUCUCGUUAAUGAGCUCUCUUUUCUUUUCUUUUUUCUUUGAUAGUGAACUUCCACGCAAUAUUCUUUGCGCCUCUAGUAAAGCUUUUUUUGUUGCCAAAAAGAAAGGCGAGAAGACAGGUCCGGAGGCGCGCCAUAAGACAGGUCCGAAGGACUAUCCAUUAGGGGAUUGAGAAUAGCCAAUUAUAUAGAAUCUUUGACCCUCUCCUUGGGACUCCCGGAUUUCCAUACAUAUGUCUCAACUAGGCUAAUCUCAUAUUUUGCAUUUUAGUCAAAUUCUUUGAAAUGAAAAUACCUUUUAAUUAAUAAGCACUCGGUCACGACUUAUGGUGGUAUUUAAUUGAGUAUAUCUACUAACAAAUAUCUUUUUUCAUUCGGCAUCCACUACCAUUACCAUGCGUGGUACCAGCAGUUUCCACUUUUUCUAUACAGAGGAACCUCCCGAGUGGCACCUUUUGGGGGUUCAUUUUCUUCAUGAAAGCAAGAGAGUGCAACAAUCCUUUCCUUUGACACUGGUCCUGUAAACGAGUGAAAAAUGCCUUGUACAGUUUUUCUUUUCCCUUGAAGCCAGUCCAAGAGUUCAGUUCACUCGAAAGCGGCUCUUAGAUAUUUGCUUUGAACCGGUUCCGCCCCACCCCCUUAUAGUAAGUACUGGUGAGAGGAAAAGAGCGCUUCUGCCCUUUACCCAAACAGUACAAGAAUGGCAAUCCACCUAUUGGUGUGCUCCUGCCCUCAACCGACCUGAUCGUCCCAAUCCGGUUGUCCUCACUAAAAAAAGAUCCACAAUCUCUUAUCUAAUUCAUAUGAAUUUCUUAUCUAAUCUUCCUUUGCCUAGCUGCCCAUUGCUAGAACUUCCAGCGCGUCGGGGGGUUGGUGUGGUAAGGCAAGCAACUCCUCUUUCCGAAGAAGAGUGCCGAGCUAUCUUAAAGUAAAGCUCUAACGGUUAGCUAUAGGUAAAGUUCUCCCAGAGCUGGAGACAGAGGCCGCUACUCCUUCAGAAACCGGAAAUCCGCAAGGAAGGAUAGGACAGAGAAUAAGGACCUAAAGUUCUUUGUCGGAUGAGACCGAGAACCGAAAGAUGUCUAUCAAAGAGCGAGAGGGACUGACUAGACCGCUGUCAACCAGCUCUGAAGGUUGCAAAGCCUGACGAGUGCCCCUGAACGGAAGGAAGGAAAGACAGAGAGAACUUUAUCCUAGCUACCGGGGAAGGGGAGAGGAGAACAGAGAUAACCGUCAAACUACGCAAUGGAUAGUCCGAAGGCAGGAAAAAUAGGGCAAUAUUCUCAAUAUUCAAAGAGCCCUUCUUUCUCUCUCCAUUUCAUGCGCCUCAAAUUCUUUGAGCCUCUCCUCCAAAGUCAAAUUCUCUAAUGGAUAGUCAUCUGCACCUUUCAGUCGUCCGGAGGCAGGUCGCAAUAUUCUUUGCGCCUCGUUGCGCUCCUUAACAGUCCGGAGGACUAUCCCUCAAAUUCAAAGAGCCUACGGACGACUGAAAGGUGCGAAGCAAAGAGCGCGAGACUAGAGAGGAGAGGUGCAAAGAAUAUUGCGAGGAGUGCAAGGCGCAAAGAAUAUUGCCGGCCUGAGGCGCAUCAAAAAAAGGGUUGAAGAUGAGCUUGAUUUUUCAUUGAGCCUGAAGUAGAGAAACCUACAAAUAAGAGAAUACCUGCCAAAAGCUUCACCUCGGUCAACCUUUGGAAUACAGAUUGUCGAGCCGCCGACAACUCCCAGGGUUCACUAAAACAGAGGUACUCCGCGAAAGACUAUUGAGUGACCUGUCGAGCUAAUCCGACACCAAGUGGGCCGCACCUCUGAGGACUCAAUAUGAAAAAAAUCUUCGGUCGCAGAAAGUCUUUUAAGAAAAAGGCUUUCCCACUUAUUGCUCACAACAGGAUAACUGAAACCUCCACUGCAACUACCAUCGUUAGGGGCUUAGCUUACAACAGGAACUGCGGAUAUAUCUUUCUCUUUUGCCUUAAAGACAGAAGAACUAUCAUCAAUAUGGAUCAAAAUCAGUCCCACUAUUUCAACUUUGCGACUGAGUAGGCGAGUGUCCAGGUGGUCCCUCAAUAAUAAGGGAUAGCUCUGACUUUGAAAGCUAAGAAAUCUUUCUAUUCCUUGAAACUGUCUUCCCGACAGUGCUACCGCGGAGUGGGGUUGAAUCAAGCUAUUAGCGAUAUGGGAUUGAGAAUGAAUUUGAGAAUUCUAUUUCUGGUGAGAUUAGAAUAUUGUCAAACUAUGCGGGCCAAUCGGAAAUUCCUUCUUUGCCAUAAAUUGAACUCUCAAUUGGGGAUGGGUUCAGCUUCUUCUGUGUUUGGAAAUAGCGGGUGGCUGUCUUAUCCGCCCGGACAAGAAGUCAAGGUAAGCUUCCAAAGCUCCCUCCUGCCCGCUGACUGGCCACGAUAAUAAUGAAAGGAAGAGUUUGAGCCACAACUAUUUAUUAUAGUUGGCAAGGCUUUUUCGGGGACUAGCCCGCUUCCCAUUACUCGACGAGGGAAAUUCCUCGCACAUAAUUAAGGGAGCCAUUGAAAGGUGACUGAAAGACCAGAAAAAAGAAACUUACCCACCCUGAUAGAGGCAAGAAGACUUUCCGGCCAGGCCUGACUAUAACCAACCUCACAGAUCCCACUCAAUCUUUUACACCGAUGUAUCAUACUCGGAAGACCAGGUCAUCAUAAGAAAAUACUGCUAAAUCUUUCCGAAGUGAGAGAAGGCGCAAAGAUCGUGGCCCACUCCUUCGGUUAAUUACGGAUAGUCCUACGGAUAAAUCCUGCGGACGUAGGACUUCUUCUUCUUUAAAAAGAAGGGUCCAGGUGACCGUCCUUCGCAAAUUCUUUGCGCCUAACUACGGGUGCAAAGAAUAUUGCGAGUUGAAGAGCCAGCUGAAAAAGGCUAGCUAGCUAGGCUAGCGCGCAAUGGCUUUCUCUGCCUUGGGAAAGCUUCUUCAAGCUCCGCCCAACCUAUACAAGGUGCUGCUCGCUUUCUCUCAGCCACAAGUGGCUUAUUUAUGUAGUGGUCGGCAUUCCUACGUGCUCCUCCUUUCCUUGCUCACCGACUGAAUAAUCUAAAAGUGAGAAAGGGAUGUUGUCGUGAGGCUUUGGUGUAGAAGGUUGCCGGGGUCUAGGUUUAUGGAUGGAUUCAGUCAACGAAAGUCCCUCAAACUCAAUCAAGAUCAACCACUAUUUGAACCUCUCCCCUUUGAAAAGAAAGUAGGAGAAGGGGGUUCAUUUCUUAGUAAACCUCCGGUGCUGGUAAGGUCGGGACCGUGGUCGUCCGUCUCCGCUUUGCCGGCCGAUAAGAUCUUUGAGAUUGACCAGCCAGCUGGGUUGCUUUGGCUAUUCCUUUCUAUUGAAAAGGAGUCAGCUGUCUGCGCGAGUAACCUUCUGAUAGGCUUCGCUGGACGACACGGCAUUCUCGUUCAAAUAUAGGCCGGCCGUACUUGUGAUGGUUCCCAAGGAUCCAAUAUGACCACUUAGGUCUACGUUGCCACGAUAUUGUUCUAUGGAAGCGGGCGGGCAAGUUCGGCCCGGUUUUUUUUGUCUCGUAGGGGAGGGAUUGACCUUUCUAACGCAUAUUCAGUCGUACCGGCAUGGCCCCACUUUUUCUCGAUCGGAGCAUCCAGCAGCGCAACCCGGUUCUACUUGACUAAGCCCCGUGCUCGUCCAAGGAGGGAGUUUGCUUUACCCAACUCUCUUUUUGAUAAGAAGGCGGAACCCCCCGACCCAAGAUUCAUUAGUUUCUCAUGAUCAAUAAGGCAACUGCAAGCAUCUACUCCUAGAGAAAUGAAAAGCGGAGCUUUAGGCUUUACUAAUAACAAGGUAAGGCCGGGAGCUCUAGCUUUACAAGGAUAGAGCUUAGAUAGGGACCUUUCUUAUUAUGAGUAUAAGGUUUGAAAAAGGCGUAGACAAGAGAUCAAUGAACGAUCAAUGAACAAGGUGAAAGCAAUCAAAAAAGUUCAGACUCGACCGCCUUGAUUCUGCCUCCAAAAGCAUUGAACCGAAGGUGCAAAGUGCGGCUAUGAGAAAAUAGCGAGACCUGUCUCAUUGAUAAGGACAUAUAUAUUAGCUUUCUGGCUUUCUUUUCUUAUGAGAACUCUGAUGUCUCAAAGAUUCCACAGGUCCGAAGGACAGACAGGUUAAUAUGGAUAGUCCGAAGGACGGGAUUUCUUUCUCACGCAACCCCGCAUAUUUCAUUCCGCCUUCGGACCUGUCUUAUGGCACCUCUCAACAACAGUUCUUCCCGCUCAAAUUUCAUUCAGCCUCCAAAGUCAAAUUCUCUAAUGGAUAGGCCUUCUCGCAAUAUUCUUUGCGCCUUCCAGUCGCUUCGCUUCGGGCCUCCGUAGCUUAAUAUGGGGGAUGGAGGAGGACUAUUCGCUAUUCUAAUAUUUACGGUAUAAACAAGUCAAAAGGACUUUUUAUCAAUGAUCUUUGCUCCUCCGGACUACUUCCUUCCAUAUGGAUGGUCCUACGGAUAAAUCCUGCGGACUCCGGACUAUCCAUUAGAGGAGUGUGAGUGCAGAGGCAAGGACGGUUUUCAAAGCAAAGAAAGCCCUAUACAUGAAUUUCAGGCGGUCUAAAAGAGGUUUUCAAAAGUCAGACUAAUCAAUGAAAGAGGAGAAUCUUUGGAGAAUGAAGAGGUCGGCUAAUAUAUAGGUAAUAAGGAAAAGUGACCCACGGAGCGGAAUAAAGUCAAUGAACAGGUCCUCCGGACUAUCCAUAUUAACCCUUGAAGGAGAUUGAUGCCUCCAAGAACAUUCAGUUCCAUAAAGAAGUCCGCCUUUUUUUAGAGGACGAAAUUGAGUGUCGAGCUAGUAGGAAGAAAAAGAUCUUUUUUAUCUAAAGAGCGUAGUAGAAGUCUGAAUUCUGCAUUCUCUCUUUUUUUUGCGGAGCUCCUUUUUAGUGGACGCUACUUGAUUAUGGGGGGAUGAGACUCUACCCUAAUCACUUUGAUUCCAUUGACUUUGAUUCCGUCCGGAUUGCUCGCCUUCUCCGCCAUAAGAAUGAAAUUCCAUAAAGAGGUCCAAGAACAAUCAGUGGAAUUCUCACAAGUCCGACUAUCGAUGAACCCUGUAAGUCGUUCUAACCUCUCGGUUGAGUACAUCGACCCUUUCCUCUAAUACGCCCUGAUUCUAGUAGACGCGUCGACGUCUUUUGAAAGGACUUGCUUUGGUAUAGGCUUUGAAUAAGGCUCGUUCCCGGCGCUCACCUUUUUUGGCUGAAAUCGCGAAUUGGUAAAGACCCACCCCUUGUUUCAGUCAGAAUGAGUCCCCGGGACCCCGGGACAUUGGCUUCCGCCAACAGUGGACUAUUAAGGAUCGCAUCCCGCGCAUAUUCUACAUUAUAGCCUGCAACUGAUUCAGCUUCCGCUUCUGGGAGAUCAAAGGGAGCUCGAUUAGUUUCUGCUAGACGAGAAAUAAAGAACAUAACCAAUACAGGGAACAAGGGAAUACCGGACCAUAUCUGCUUUUGCGCCAUGACAAUCUCACUCGAAUUACGGGGACCUACACAUAUUAGUACAGUAUACCGGGGUCCCCGGCCAGAACCACACGUGCAAGUUUCCCUGCAUGUGGCUCGUCCGUGCUUUCCGAGGCGCUGCCUGCUGUGACUCAGCAUGGGAGAAGGGGGCGGAACUGCACACUUGAGUGUGAAGAGCACUCUGAAGUGACUGACGAAACUGAUCAUUCUUCUUAUGCUUCCGAAACAUCUGACGAAAGAUCUCAUACGAACAAGAAAGACCUAUGAAACUCUUAUUCAUGAAAUGACCUCAUUACCUCUUUGAAUGCCUUUAUCUCAAAGUUCUAGCUUGAGCUUUCUUGACGACUGGGCUGGUUCCUCGCCAACAAAUUGGAUUUCGAUCUUGGGGAAAGCCCCAGGAAAGUCUAGGUUGGCUUCCAGCUCCAUCUCGGCCGGCAUCCUGCUCUCGAGGGGGUGGAGUCCUGGAGCGAACUACUCAUUGCUGUCUUGCCCCAAUCCCUUGAAGGGCUUUUGGGGAGGAGCAUUGUUGGAGGGAAAGGCGUGGUUGACAAGCCACUUCGAGGAGGCGACUGGACUGGAGUGCUUUCAUCAAGCAUGUGGGCUGAGCCAUUCCCACCACUUGGGGUGGCCCGAUUCGGCCUGGUCGGGAAGAGAUGAAGAUAGAGACUCUUACGUUACGGGAAUCUCUUUCUAUGUUAGCGGGAGGGGGCCUUCCUAUGGUAGUCCCGCUGCGGCCUCUGACCGUCCGUCCCGUCUCAUCUUUCUUUGGCUAUACUUGGAUGUAGCCAGCCAUCUUAGCUUCACAUGAGAGAGUUAGCCUUUAAGGCUCUGCACUCAUCAGUCAGCUCGGCCCCUUUCCUAUUCCCCUUUGCCGCCUUUUAAGAGAAUAGGUCCCGUUGAAGCGGCCCGCCUUUAUGAAUCUAUACCAGCUGCCACGCACGACCCAAUAGGAACUAUCAUGAAACUCGAAAGAAAGAAGUUGAAAACAUAAGAUAUAAGUCCCAUAAAUAAGAGAGACGGACGUAGAAUAUUGCUCGGAAACUUCAGCAUUAUUAGGAGAUAGAUAGGGGAGGGUCCGAAGCCUUAAUUUGACUUCCAUUGACUUUUUCUUCCUUCCAUAAGGACUCAAACCUUUGUUCAUUGAUUCAGUCCGAAGGACUUCGCAAUAUUCUUUGCGCCUCUUUGAGCCUCCCCAUUUUUUCUUACGCCUGGAGAUACUUUCUUCUAGAGGAGAAGGCCUGAAUAUGGAUCAAAAUCAGUCCCACUAUUUCUUAAUAUGGAUAGUCCUCGAAUAUGAAUUCAUCCUCCGUUAGGCGCAAAGAAUAUUGCGUGGAACCACCCGGAGAGAAGGUUUUUUUUCCAUUAAUCAGUCCCUCUUUUCAAAGUCAGAGCUAUCCAAAAUCAUGAAGCAGAAGGCUCAAAGAAUUUGAGGAUAAGGGAUAUUGAUUCUUUGGUCCUUCGCCUAAGAAUAAGGUUCAAAGAAUAUUGAACUCAUGAAUAUGGAUCAAAAUCAGUCCCACUAUUUCUUAAUAUGGAUAGUCCUUCGCAAAUUCUUUGCGCCUAACGGAGGGAUAAAAACAAGUGAAAAAUAAUGGAAAUAAGGGUCCUAAAGUGGGGCGCAGUUGAGGAGGCUCCAUAAGAGAGGUCUAUUGUAGGUCGUCCUUCUCCUUAAUAAGUGGGGAUCUGGACGGGUCCGACCUAUCCACUGAAAGUAGCGGAGUAGUCUUGUCUUCUUCUUCUUUUAGAUAUUAUGUCCUUGAACUUCAAACCCACUAUUUAGUCUCCCACGGGGCGGUUUUCAAAGCAAAGAAACCUAUCCAGCGGAAGAAGUAUGAAAAGAGAAAAGGAAGAAAGAGAAAGCUAAGCUAAUAUGGAUAUAAAGAACGACUAAGGACGGAGGACGGAAUCAAAAGGCAGUGAGAAGGCGCGAAGCGACUGGCAAAAAUAUCCAUCAGACUCGACCGCGUAGAAGGCGCAAAGAAUAUUGCGAGAAACCUUAUUAUCGAAUAUUGCGAGGUCCUUUUUACCUCUUUUAUCCAAAAUAUUAGUUCCAUUCUAAUCGAUAAUUCUUUGAGCCUCCGGCUUAAAUAAAGCGAGUCAUGAUCCUUAUAAAGCAGUUUUGGAAAUCGAGCAAUAUUCUUUGCGCCUGGUCCGAAG
rnacentral:lncRNA from 1 species